rnacentral:lncRNA from 1 species
AGAAGACGGCCGAAGGCGACGGCUUAUGGUGGAGCCUCCCUUCUUCUCCGGCCACCCUCCCUAAAACACAACUUAACCCUCUAAAUACCCCCUUUCGAGUUCGAAUCCAACCUCUAAAAAUCCCUAAACCUUUAACACAAAACCGAUUCGCCCUGAGCCAACGAGUACGAAGAACAACCAAGAAAGAUCAAACGAAGAACCGAAGAGAAAGAUCGAAGUCCAAAUCGAGGAUUCCAAAGAGCGAAAUGCUAAGGGUUUCGCUCAAAUCGGAGCUCAAACGACAAACACCCAGGAGCGAGCAAACGAGAUAGACAGUGCGAAAUCCAGUAUAAAUGAAGAUUAUGCAAGUUCUUUUUAAAAUGAGAGGCAAGGGGUUUUACCGUCCAGUAGGGCUUUCAGGUAAAUCAACACUUUUCUUCUCUCCUCUAAUACUGUUGCGCUUUUGAAGAGGUAGGAGGAUCUAACCUCACCUAGGCCAGAGUUUCAACGAGAAAACUCUCUCUUAGAUUUUUGAAAACUUGAGUUUUUUUGUGAAAAGGUCCUCCUCUGGAUUUUUCUGCUGCGUUAUCUUAUAUCUGAUAAUCUUUUCACAGAUGAAUUUUUAAGUCUAAAAAAAAGCUCUGUCUGUUAUGCCUUUUCAUUCCAGGUUAUUUUGGAUUUCAUUUUUGUAAAUGUGUUACUGUUUUAAGCCAUUUUCGAAAUGCUUUUUGAGUAUUCAUGUUGGUCUUCUGGAUAAAGUGCUAAACUGAUUAACUUAUUAGUUAUUUUUCAGUUCUUUAAGCGCUUUUGGAAAGGGCUUUUUAUUUAAGUUGUUUUUCUCUCUGCAGGUUACAACGUGAAGUGACUUUGAUGGAUAGUUUGUGGGCUGUAAUACAGCAAGGUUGGAGGCACGCCCCAGUUCAAAGAGAUUUCAAUUUGAUUACCUGACUUUGGUCUUUAGGAUUUAUUCCCAUUUGUAGCAAAUUUCACUGUAAUUACAUUGGGUUUUUUUUAAGACAAAUGUGUGCUUGGAUUAUGUAACUUAUUGAAUUAAAAGUCUAAUAACCAUUAAUAAUUAUGUAUUCAACCUUUUAAUCUUUCAAAAUUUAACUCAAUAAUGUGUGCUUGGAUUAUGUAACUUAUUGAAUUAAAAGUCUAAUAACCAUUAAUAAUUAUGUAUUCAACCUUUUAAUCUUUCAAAAUUUAACUCAAUAUUUAUUUAUGCUAAUCAAUUUCAACUUUUUUAAAAAACAACAAAUUUCUAACUUAAGUACAAUGAAUUAAUCUAAAAAUAAAUUUCUAAUUUAAGUAUAACGACUUAAUUUAAAAACAAAUUUCUAAUUUAAGUAUAAUGAAUUAAUCUAAAGAACAACAUAAUUACUAAGUAUAGUAAUUUAAUUUAAACAGCACAAUUCUAUUUUAAAUACAAAAAAAUCUAAACAUGAGACUUUUAAUUUUAAAAAAAACACAUUUCUAUUUUUUUCUAAAAAAUGCAAAUUCUAAAUAUGUGAUUUUUGAAACAAAGAAAUCUCAUGGAUUAAACCAAAAUGGCCGGACAAAAUUGGGGUAUGACAGCUGCCCCUAUUUAAUUACCUUAAACCGGUAAGUGAUAACGACAGUAGUUUUUACGCAUUCACGGUGGGAGAUAAUUAAACACAAGAAGACCCAAAUUUUGUCCUAGGCAAUGAAAGGAAGAAAAUACAGGAAGAAAAUGUGGUGAGAAAUGGCAAAAAGACAUCAUCCCACAGUAAAAUGGAACAGUCAAGACUUUCUAGGAGUCGUCAGAACAGUAUCUUGGACAUCACAGUCGAGAUAUGUUAGCAAUGGAAUGACAUCCCUAGCUAAAACUCAAGAUUUUUCAAGAAAGAUUUUUCAAGAUGCUAGAGCAGUAUAAAGAAAAUCUGGCAUGAGACUCUUCAUAUCGAUGAAGCAGCAUCUCAACAGUAAAAGUGAGAUUCUCUAUAUCAAGUCGAAACAGCAUCUUAUAUGAUAGAAUUAAAAUAUUCCAGCAAAGGAAAAAUACCUUAAUUGAAUCUAAGACUCUCCGAAGAUACUUAGAGCAGUAUCUUUAAAAAAAAUAAGCCGAAAUGAGACUCUUUAGAUUGAUGAAGCAGUAUCUCAAACAGUAAAAGUGAGAUUCUCCGUAUCGAGUCGAAACAGCAUCUUAUAUGAUAGAAUUAAAACAUUCCAGCAAGGGAAAAAUACUUUAAUUGAAUCUAAGACUCUCCGAGGAUACUUAGAGCAGCAUCUCUAAAAAAUCUGAAAUGAGACUCUUCAUAUUGAUGAAGCAGCAUCUCAAACAGUAAAAGUGAGAUUCUUUGUAUCGGGUCGAAGCAGCAUCUUAUAUGAUAUAAUUAAGAUAUUCCAGCAAGGGAAAAAUACCUUAAUUGAAUUUAAGACUCUCCGAGAAUACUUAGAGCAAUACCUCUAAAAAACUGAAAUUAGACUCUUCAUAUUGAUGAAGUAGUAUCUCAAACAGUAAAAAUGAGAUUCUCUGUAUCGAGUCGAAGCAGCAUCUUAUAUGAUAGAAUUAAGAUAUUCCAAACAAGAGAAUGAUAUCUUAAUUGAAUCUAAGACUCUCCGAGGAUAUUAGAGAAGUAUCUCUAAAAGAAUCUGAAAUGAGACUCUUCAUAUUGAUGAAGCAGCAUCUCAAACAGUAAAAAUGAGAUUCUCUGUAUCGGGUCGAAACAGCAUCUUAUAUGAUAGAAUUAAGAUAUUCCAGCAAGGAAGAAAUACCUCAAUUGAAUCUAAGACUCUCCGAGGAUACUUAGAGCAGUAUCUCUAAAAAAUAUGAAAUGAGACUCUUCAUAUUGAUGAAGCAGCAUCUCAAACAGUAAAAAUGAGAUUCUCUGUAUCGAGUCGAAGCAGCAUCUUAUAUGAUAGAAUUAAGAUAUUCCGAACAAGGGAAAGAUACCUUAAUUGAAUCUAAGACUCUCCGAGGAUACUUAGAGCAGUAUCUCUAAAAAAUCUGAAAUGAGACUCUUCAUAUUGAUGAAUAUGAUAGAAUUAAGAUAUUCCGAACAAGGGAAAGAUACCUUAAUUGAAUCUAAGACUCUCCGAGGAUACUUAGAGCAGUAUCUCUAAAAAAUCUGAAAUGAGACUCUUCAUAUUGAUGAAGCAGCAUCUCAAACGGUAAAAGUGAGAUUCUCUGUAUCGAGUCGAAGCAGCAUCUUAUAUGACAAAAUUAAGAUAUUCCAAACAAGGGAAUGAUACCUUAAUUGAAUCUAAGACUCUCUGAGGAUGCUUAGAGCAGUACCUCUAAAAAAACUGAAAUGAGACUCUUCAUAUUGAUGAAGUAGUAUCUUAAAUAGUAAAAAUGAGAUUCUCUGUAUCGACUCGAAGCAGUAUCUUAUAUGAUAGAAUUAAGAUAUUCCAAACAAGAGAAUGAUAUCUUAAUUGAAUCUAAGACUCUCCGAGGAUACUUAGAGCAGUAUCUCUAGAAAACAAAUGAGAUUCUUCAAAUUGAUGAAGUAGUAUCUCAAACAGAGAGAUGAGAUUCUUCCGAUAAAUGAAGCAGUAUCUUGAAUAUUCGUCUGUUGGGGGAACUUUUUAAGAAAAUACUCCUUUCGAGGGAGAUUUACUAGAAACGCUCUGCAGGGGAAAAGCUCAUAAGAUACUUUUUAGGGUAACCUCUGCUUGGGGAGCAAUGAUUGUAAAGAAAAAUGCUGGAAAUAUCAUUUUUAAUCAUAAAGUUGAACAAUGAUUUGCUGAGAAAUAAUUCUACGAGCACAUGCAGGGAAAUAUAAAGAAAAAUGCUGGAAAUAUCAUUUUUAAUCAUAAAGUUGAACAAUGAUUUGCUGAGAAAUAAUUCUACGAGCACAUGCAGGGAAAUAACUUUAUUUGGAAAUGAGAAAUGUCCAAGAUAUACAUCAAUGACCUUGGAUCCUGAUAUUUUAUGUUUGAUUCUCGUAUGAUGUUCCACUUUAGGUGGGAAUACCAUGCAUUGGAUGAUGCAUGAGAAUGCAUGCAAGUAUGCAAUUUGCUGGGGAUAUUUGGUUGUGCAUGUAGGAAUGCGAAUGAUUUUUGUUUAGUUGAAAUUCCCAUUUUGUGGGAGUGUUAUACAUGAGUAUGUUGAUGGUUGAUAUGACUCUGUUUUUUUGAAUUUUCUGUUUGGUAGGAAAACCAUGUAUGGAUGAUUCGUGUGAUGCAUGCGGGAAUGCAACUGGAUAAUUGGAUGCUUUUGUAGGGUUUUAUUCUUGACUGCCAAUGAGGUUGGACUUUAUAUGGGAACUGCCAGAUGAGAACUGGUGAAGGAGACUGAACUGCCAGGUGAGGACAACACUUGAAGGAUAUGUUACUAGACGCGAACUGGUGAAAAUAAUUGAAAUGUCAAACGGGACUGAAUUUGUUUUUGUUUGUCAGAUACGAACUGAUUUUUAAAGUAGGCUACCAGACGAGUGAAGGAGAAUUGGCGACCCAAAGCGCAGCGGAAAUUAAAAUUUUCUCCUUUAGAGAUCCUUACGAAUGGUCAUGAUCAGUGAUAGAGUAUUUACCUCUUGUGACGGUUGAAACCUUUGGUGCAGAUCUCUUGUGACGAUCAAAACCCUUUGAUGCAGAUCCACGNGUUUGGGUCUGUUUCGGGCCUUCCCAUGGAUUGGCCCAUUAAAUCCCCUAAUCAGUCACCCCCUCAUACUGGGGAAUAUUUUUUGGUGUUUGCGUUUUUGUUUAAGACAUAAUGCAUUUUUUUUAAUGCUUAAUUGGAAAAAUAUUCUUAGAAAUAUCUUAAUAUUAGAAUAAUUUUAUAAAUAAUUUUAUAGAUUAAUUUAUAUUAUUCUUUUGUGGAUUUAGAUUUGUUUAGAAUUUAUAACAAUAGAUUGAUUUUUUAAAAUUUAAAUCUUGUUAAUAUUUUAGGUUUAAUUAGAGAUAAUUUUUUAGAAAUAAUUGUAGAUUAAUUAGAAUUCCUUAUUGUGAAGUAUUUUAUUUUAGAAUUUUAGUUUAAUUUGGUAUGAUUUUUAGAAUUUAAUUGGGAAAAUAUCUUUAUAUUUAAUUAGUUCAUUUUAUUAUGAAAUAAUAUAGAUUAAUUGAAUUUGUGAUUUAGAUUUGUUUAGAAUUUUAACCUAUUUAGGGAAUGAUUUUAAAAUUUAAAUCUUUUGUUAAAUUUUUAGGAUUAAUUAAAUUAAAUUUUAUUAGAAAUAAUUGUAGAUUAAUAGGAAUUCCAUUGGGAUUUUGAUAUAGUAAAUAUAAUGAAAAUAUCUUAGGAAAUUUAAUUAGAUAUUUUUUUAUUUAGAUUAAUUAGAAUUCUAUUGUGGAUUUAGAUUUGGUUUUAGAUUUAACUUAAUUAGGAAUGAUUUAAUUUAAUUUUUGUUAAUAUUAUUAGAUAAUAUAUUUUUAUUAGAAAUAAAUUAAUGUAAAUUUUAGGAUUUAUUUUAGAAUUUAAUUUAAUUUUAGAAUGAUGUUUAGAAUUUAAUCUUUUGUUAUAUAUUUUAAAAUUAAUAUUUUGGUAAUAAGUUUAGAAUUGAGAUUUUCGAUAGUAAUAUUGUUGAGUUUUAAUUAUGAUACUUUUAUAGAUUGUUUAAACUUUAGUUAUUUGUUUUAGAUUUUAAAAUUUAUUAAUUCUCCUGGAUUAUUUCAUGUUGAUUUCAAUUAACACCUAACAUUUAACGAUUAACUCUAAUUUUUAAUUUCCGCAAUUAACAUGUAAAGCUCUUUAAAUUCCCCUCUAACAUUUAUUAUUUUUUACUUCACUCUAUGCUAUAUCAUUGUACAUUCAUCAUCUCAUCUCUUAAAAUGAACCUUAAAAAAUGAUAAGAUUAUCGAUUAAAUUUCUCAUGCUCAUCAAUUCUAACCAUUAAACAAAAUAGUACUUCUCGAUUCAAAAGAUUCAGAGGCCAUUUUUUUUUAUGUCCUUUGCUAUUUCGAUCGCUGAAAAUAGGCAUCUGCCAUCUCUCUCACAUGGCUUACUCUUGGCUUUCUUACAAUGAGACCUAUUCGGUUUUAAUUAAUCGAUUAAAUGGAUUUAUCUACCAAAUAAAUUCAAUUCAUUUCACAAGAAUGCAAAUUUUAAAGUCUCGAUCCGACAUCGCAAUAAUUAAAUAUUAAUCACAUUUAAACAACGCUUCAUUUGAAAAUGAAAAGGGGCGAUGUUUCUGAGUUUUUCAACUCCUCUUCCUACGAUUAUUUGAAUUACGAGUUUUCUUACUCGGUUUAGUCUAAAAAUUGGUCGUCAUUCUAAUCAUUUAAGCACAAAGCAAAUCAAUCCUUUUUACAACAAAGCAACUAAAAUGGGAGAUAACUUAUGAGUCGUUUCAAUUUUUUUCCACUGACUAUUUUUGAUACAAGAUUCUUCUUACUUUGGUUAUUUCAAAUAAUGUUCGUUCCUCUACAAACUAUCUAACUAUUCAUAAAAAGCUAAAUAAGGACAGAUGGUGAUCUUUGAGUCUUUAACUGCUCUCCUCAAUUGUGAAAUACAAGCUCUUACUCGGUCAGUCGAACAAAAUUUGUUAUUAUUCACCAUAUCUUAUACCGUUUAUAGUUCAAAUCAUUUUCAUAAUUAAACUGCUUACGAAAAGGGAGGAUGGUUUGAGGAUUUCAAUUCCUUUCUCAAAUUGCUUUUGAUUAUGGUCCUUAUCUUCUCAUCGAGCACUUGUCGAUUUUUUAUUCUUAAAAUACAUCAUCAUUAACAUAUUACUUAUUUUUAUUAAUCACUUAGAUGAAAGUUAUAGAAAGUUGGUCUAGAGUUUUCUAUUUCCUUUCCGCCAUUAUAUAGGAUCGAGUUGUCUUACUCGAUUAAUUGUAGUAUUCGUUCCAUAUUAAAACUACUCUUAAUUUAUUAAUUAAAUUUUUUUAUACCUUUCUAUAUAUUAAGGCAUAUGAAAAAGAAAGUGGCUCGAGUCUUCUUAUUCCCUGUUUCUCCGACUGCCUAGGAUAGAGUGUUCUCUAAUCUUGGUCUAUCCGAUUAAUCGUCAUUCCAUAACCAAAAUAUCACAAAUUUAUUUGGUCCGCACCUCGUUGCUCGGAUACUCGAAACUCCAGUCAUUAAUAUCAAAAAUAUCCACAUUAUUAAUCUAGCUUGUCACCCUCGUGUGAUCUAAAACUCUUUUCAAAAAGAACACUAUUUUAUCUCAUUUCUACAUCGCACACAUUCAAACUAAUGCUUUUAUGCCUCCGCCGAGAGUAGCACAAGCAACGUUUAGCCUCUUAGUGAUACGAUUCUAAACAGUUUGUUCAUUAGAAAAACACCAACCAACAGUUUAGUUCCCCGAAAAACUAUCGAAUGCUCUUAUUUAAGGAUACGUAGGAGGAGAUUGAUAUGUAUCUCCGAGCACACUAAUAAAAAAACCUCCCCUUUUCCCUUGCUGAGGUCUCUCUAUCCCAUUUAUUUUAAUAAUUUUAUAACCAAAGAUAACAUAAAUAACACUCAAAACGCACAUUAGAACUAAAAGGUUCCUGUUGUAAUACUUCGUAAGGGCGGUUGCUAAUACCUUCCCUUACGUAAUCCACUCCCGAACCUUUAUCCGAUUACGGACCAUUAUCCAUGUUCCUAAAAGUUUAUCGAUUAUUUUCCUAUACCCUUCAUUGGGUUUGGUUUAAAUAAAGUUCCUCAGGUGAGCGAACUCUGUUUUCAAACAUAUUUAAUUUUUCCAUAUGUCUAGACCAUCGCGAGGAAAUUGUAUUUUCGAGAUGCGACAAGGUGCGCGACUCUGUUCAACCUUAAUUUUUAGUUCCGCGACCGAUCUCAGAAUCGUAUUUUUCGAGAUGGCACAGAUGAGUUAGACUCUGCUGGGAUAUUUGGUCUGACAACAAAGAGAGUGAGGCCUCAAUUUAGUUUUCAGUUUUUGUAUUAUGUGUUAUCUUUGUUUGCUAAAUCUGUUAUUUUUAUUUUUGUCAUUAUUAUUUUGUCAUAAUUAUUUAUUGUGAUUUAUUGACUUAUGUCUUAAUUUGGGUUCUUUUGGUUGGUGAUACUUUGUGAGGAUAGGCUCUUCCACCGUAGUCUGAGAAAAACCAUAAGAUUAAGUUGUCUUUGUGUGUUGCUCGCGUUAGUGGGCGCCCACCCUGUUAGAAACGAAAGGACCCCGCCUUUCUGAGUAUAUUAUUGUCCCGACGCGUCUUCGUCACGGACUGAUAGAUUUCUCAAGUGGAUGAAUCAAUGACUCUUAUGGGGACUCUUUAAUUUCCUUAUUCGAGUGCUAUGAGUAUUGUCUACCUGAAAAGUCCAUGGACAUGAAAGGCCAUAAUCAGAUGAGAUCCCUUAGACGUUUUACUAUCUUACGAGUAAAUAUUUCCACCUCGAUUUGAUGACUCUAUGAGAACUCUGUUUAGAAUCCCCUCUCGAGAGCGUGUAAGUAAAUCCUCAUGGAUUUCCUUGUUGGGACAAAUACGAUAGACCUUCACCUAUUCUUCUAGCGAUUAUUACUAUCGACAAGGUCUAAUUAUUUGCUGACCUUCUAGGAAUCCUACCAUCUUACGCCAAAACAAGACCUUAGACCAGACGCUUUUUUUAGCUCCCUAGACAGCGGCUUAAAGCGCUGUCUAAGCCUCACGCUGCUAAAGGUUUAGACCAGUCUGCUUGUUUAAAUCUAUAAAGCUUCUCCCCCGCCUUUAGACAGCGCUAUUGCCCAAAAAGCGCUUUCUAGACCCUCCAUAUUUUAAUUUUUUUAGUAUACCUUAGACAGCGCUUUUUGAGCUAAAGCUCUUGUCUUAAAGGGGGGGCUUAGCAGCGCUAUCAAAAAGCGCUGUCUAAGGCCCCCUAUGACAACAGCCUCAGCAAAAGCGCUUGUCUAAAGGGAGGCUUUAAGGACAGCGCUUUCAGGAUAAGCGCUGUUCUAAGCCCCCCCUAACAGCGUCUUUUGCCAUGUGAUUUGUGCGCUUUCUAAUCCCCCCUUAGACAGCGCUUUUUACAAAAGCGCCUGGUCUAAUGUAUACGUUAAUUUUGAUAGCUUUUGUUUUAAAACCACAUUUUUUCCAGGUUUUAUAAAACCAGAAUUUUCUACUGUUUCAACCAUUUUGACAGACAGUUAUUUUUAUACAUGUCUCUUUUUUCUACAUUUUUGGCUAACAAAUUAUCUAUAUAUUAUAUAUACCAAUUCAAACACAUUUUAAUUUGCCUUAAAUGUAUCAAAAUAUAUACUAAAAUUUAUGUAACACAUUUUACAAGCAUUACAUUAUACUACAAAUGUACAACAUUAAUUACACAAAUUUAUGAAAAAACUUUUUGAGCUUUUCUAUCAUUGAAUUGACACCACUCUCCUCUUGAUUUCGUCCACUUGAUCCUUUGUAAAAUGCAACACAUGAAUUCUAAAGACUACAUAAUAACUAUAACAUAUUUUAAUUAAUUCAACUAAUUUAGAUUAUAUGAGAUAUGUGUAAAUAUAUUAAAAUACAUAACAUCGGUGGGGAAUCAUCUAAUCGGCCCAAAGCUAAGAGUAUCCGAUAUAAAACUCAACACGAAUAAUACCCGCAUGAUUCUGUUGUUGAGGACACUUACAUGAAAAAAAUCUCGAUUAUAAAUCCUAAGUUUUAUCAAGUGUCAUCACUAAUUAUAAUAAAAAAUGUAGGUAAUUAUAAAAUUUAUACCGCCACUUUAAUCCAUGUAUGCGGUCUCCUUUGAGGUUUGGGGAUAUAUCUCGUCUUGGGCCCGAAAAGCUUGCUUAGGAUUGCUAAUAAAAUAAAAAUGAAUAGCCAAUAUUUAGAUACUAAUUCACAUUAAACUAAGAAAAAUUUUAACAUUUCUCACUUACCGUGUGUCAAUUAGGAACUUCAUAUCCUGUUUCCAAUCAUUUUUAUCCUUAACUCGAGUCAAUUGAUAAUACACAAUUUCUCCGAUAGGAUUGAUUGCGUAGCACAAAUCAAUUGUCCUACAUUUAGAUGGUAACUUGGAAAUAAUAUAUAUAGAUAUGGGAAUAAAAUUUUUUUUUAUUAAAGGGGGGGAAACUUUGGGGAAAAAAAAAAAAUAAAAAAAAUUUGUGGGGGGGGUCCUAAAAAAACCCCCUCGGGGGUUAUUUAAAAUUAAAAAAAAUAACCUUUGUGCGUUUUUCUUUAUAAAAAACACUUCUCCGCCAUCUUUUAUUGUUCAUGAGGAUACGAAGAACGAUACUCCGUCACGGUUAUCCGUUGCUAUUUUACUCUAUAAACCUAAGUUGAUGCUCAUGCGAUGGCUCCCUAAGAAUCCGAAUGGACUCGUCCAUAGAUCAUUGCGGACUGCGUCAUUUUGUGCAUACAAACCUAAUAUAAAAACAUUCAUUAAACACCCUUGCAAAACAUAAAGUAAAACCUGUGUCUUUUAACAUAAACGUAAACAUCAUUUAACAAUAAGUUGUUUAAUUAAUAAGACAAAGUAGACCGGAAUUUACCUAAUAUAUGUAUUGACAACGUUUGACGCCGAUUUCUCAUGACCAAAACUGCAAUAUGAAGUCCUUCAUUACCAAUCAUUUGUGUCUGUGAUUCAAGCCGAAAAAUCCCUUUCCUCCAUAUGUAUUAGUACGAACACUUCCGGGUCGGUAUAAUAAUCGGUCAUCUUCUUCUUAAAUUCUAUGUCCUUACGAUCCAUAUACUUAGGCUGGGCUAGGUUUUUUCCUAGCUACGGUCUUCUUAUGCACCAGGAACUUUUUACCCGUGCAGGACGUUCCUAAACCCUCCUUUUAUUUGCUUGUGCGGAGCAUUGUCUAAACCUCAUUUUCUAUGAAUCCUUAGUUAGAUACAAAUUAAGAUGUUAACACUUCCAAUGACAUAUAUUGUCAAUAUAUUGUUAUAUUACCUCUUUCUUUUUAGUGGGAGUUCUAUUAACUAAUAAUCAAGGGAAAAUAUGUAAGCGUAAAAUUUUAAGAUAAAUUUUAAACUUUUGAUAUACACAUAAUAAGUUAACAUACAGUUGUUAGCAUACUCUCAUAUCCACAUGCAAUAUGAUCGUUUGUCGGCCAUGCAACAAACGAAACUACUGGCUCGUGCACCGUUGUUGCAUCGAUAAUCAUCGCAAUAGUAGGGAUAUGGUAAUAUGCAUUCGGGUCAACUGCAAUAUCAACUGAUACCUCAAACAUCCAGCGAUUGGAGUAAUACUUUCUCUCGCAUCACUUUUCCCUUGCCAACGCAUCCUGAUAGUUGUAUUAUGUGGUGACGACAAUACAGGCGACCAAUGGGAAAAUGCCCUAAACAAAUAAUAACAAGAAUCGUAGUGUAUAUAUGUCAUAAUAUAUAAUUUAAGUUAAAUACGUUCAAUUAAGACAUUAUAUGUUAACUACCUUCUGGAAUGUUCGCGUUGAAAGCGUACAGUUGAUACUGUUUUUGUCCGAAGAUCUCUGGUUAUAUUACCGUUGAGGCGCUUAGCCUUCUCUUUUCUCAAUGCUAAUCAAGCUCAGCUUGCAUGGCUUCCAAUCUUGCAUUGAGCCCUCCGGAUUACUAGGAGGCCUUUCCUUUUAACACUGAGGGAGGUCGGCAGUGACUCCAAAUCCCUUACCCCUCACCCGCACCAGAAUACUCUAUUCAGGGACAUCUUAUAUUUGCCCGACUAAGUAUGCUCUUAGUAAUCAUCGGGAGAUAGAGACUGAGAUAGCUCCUCUCUUGAAAAUCAGAUGUAAUUUACCGUAUAUACUUCGUCAAAAUAUUUUGUAUACUUUGAAAAAUAUUAUAUUACUUACACAUUUUCUUGGGUAUACGUUUAAAACGUCUUCUAUUAGGAACUCCAGAUUUUGCCACACGGGCUUCCUUCCACGAAACAUUGUGCAGAGAGAUGUUUCUGAACUUUCCUCCUUCUGCAGCUAACACAUUAUAGUCAUACAAUUGAUCAGGAUAAAACUAAUUAUGAUGAACAAUGUUUUAUAAAAUACUUACCAUGGAUUGUAUUCUAAGCGUCUUCAUAUCCGACACGUCCUUUUUUCUGUACGGAUAUGGCGGGGAACUUUGAUGCUUUUUCCCGAUUUGUAGCACUUAUUCUUGAAAUAGUCGGUUCUCUGUUUAUCCCUAUUUUCUUCAGCCGAUAUCAUAACUUUCUUAAUUCUAGGAGCUUCCGCAUCACCAAAAUUAUUUUAAGGAACUCUGGAUGAUAAAAAAUGUCCGAAUUAGAGCUUUUCCGGCCAAUUUCAUACAAAAACCCUCUUUCUUUCUCUUCCGAUGUUAAUAAUUAUACAGAUUAUGAUAGUUAGUAUCGUUAUGAAAAAACUAUCGAUUACCGUAUUAAUUAAGGCCAAAUGAUUGUACCUUUAUCUCACUCCAAUAUAUUUUUUUCUUUGGACAUUUUCAAACUCUUUAUUCAUCCAAUCAUCUAUCAUGUAUGGGAAUUUCUUCCUUACUAGUGCACGAUUUGAAACUAGUUAGGUAUGUUAUGGUUCUUAUAAGUUGCUCCCUGGUAUUUGUUCCAAGAGACAUCUAUGUAUGAUGCCUCUCCUUGGACCAUUCCCUUCUCGCAUUUACUGUGAUGCUACUUCUUUCGGAUUCUUCUUUCCUCAGCGGAUACUUACUACUUGCCUCAUGUUGGUCAUCAGCCAUGUCUAACCCUGUAAUUGGUGAACCAUCAAGAUAUCAAAAUAUAACUUAUAAUCAAACAAUGAACAAAAAAAUAAAGAAAUCAUGGAGUUAUCAGAUUAUUACACUUAUAAUCAAAGACAAUCGAAUACAAACAAUAUAAUAAAAUGCAUAUCCACAUAUAAUUCUUAUAAUCAAAACAUAAUGAAUAACAAAAAUAAUAGAAACCAUGGAAAAUUUACCUAAUGUCUACUAACAUCUCAUUCUUUUCUUUGUAUUAAUCUAUAACUUGUUUUCUUAGCAAUGCCGUACGGAUUGAAUUGAUCCAAAUUCCCUCAUUUAUGAUCGUUUCUUCUAUAUAUGACUCAUUCGCGUUUAUAGAUCUCCCUCAAAACUUCAUUUCAUUUCUAUUCAAACUCAUCCGUCUUAAAUGCGUGACUCAUUCUCACAUCAAUAUCACAUUGAUCGACGACCGCUAUCAUCAGUCUACUUGUUAGAGAUUCACUAUAGACCAUUUUGUACUUAACUUCGGGUUCAUCACAUAGAACACUGUUAUAGCUGAGAUGCUAGAAUUAAAAGGUUCAUCUUUGUACCCCACCUAGUUAAGAUCAACUUGGCCCGCUUCUUUUCGUAUGCCACUACUGAUUCAGCGCCACUUGCACCAAAGAUGGGAAUCUGAACUUCUCGUAAUUCAAAACACCCAAAUUUGUGCUCAUAACUCCAAAUAUGACAAAUUUGUCAUAUCUUUGGGUUUAAGUCUUCUACUUGAUAUAUUGCAAUGCUUAGCUAGCACUUGCUGACACCACUAUUUGCAUAGUACUCUUAUCACUUGUUCUUUUGCGUAUUUAUCCUAUAAAUUUGAAUAGCGUAGUGUAGAAACAAUGCAAACUUGGACUAUGCCAAACAUUCUCACCUUUCUGUUACGAAGAAGGCAUCGAGAGCGCUUCAAAUAAAAAUGAUCCUUCAACCAUUGUAUGAAAACUUUGAUUUGCUCUAUAAAAUAUCCCAAUUUCAUUCUGUCGGAUAUUUAACCUUCGGCAGUAUAUUCCUAUGUGCAAUUUCAUAACAUUGUCUCAACCUCUAUUUUUAUUAUUGUGCAGACAUACCAAUGAACUGAAUCCCGUUCAUCCCCUUGAUAUUUGUCACCAAUUUUAUUUCCCAAUUAAUUUUUUACCUUCCAUUUUUUGUCGAAAAUCUGAGUCUGGUGGAGUCCAAUCGAUUGAACGUUAGACAAAUAUUCUGUACAAAAAUACUCAAACAAGCUUCUUUCAACAAUAUGUAUCGAUUUUUCAACAAAUACAACCUUUCUGCGUCGACUUCCGGGGAUUUACGUUAACCCUUUUAAUAUUCAUUAUAUCCGUCAGUGGGUUACAUCCAUCUGCAUAUAGCUUUGGUCCACACAACUGUUGUCUCUUUUCACAGUAUGAAUGAUUGUAAAAAAAGACGGGAAAUACAUUCAAGCCACACAACGGUAGAUUACAAUCCUUUUGUUUUAGUGUUGGAAGAUCUCGGACUCGAUCACCUUACUACAAAUUGACCUAAAGAAAAAAAACAAUUUAGUUUUGCAUUCUUACUUUUCUUGGCAAAAAUAGAACGUAUAUAUCCUAUUCGUAGUGAAAAUGUUCCAUUAUAACAUGGCAAUCAUGUGCUGUCAAAUUCUUCAACUGAGGUCUUUCAUUAGAAACAAUCUUCUGAUAUGGAGUAAUCCUUUCUUGGAACUCCUUAACUUCACUCAGAGACUUAGCAACAAGAAUUUUCUUCCUUUCUAGGAUAUAUAAGUAAAAGCAGCAGGUGGUAGAUAUGUCGUUUCUUUCCUUUCUUCACGGGUGCUAAUCAGUUCUCCAUUCCCCAUUUUUAACAUGUACCUUCCCUUGCUUUAAGGCUCAUCCUUAGACUUGCCUUUUAUAUGAAGUAAUGUACACGAUUAACAUCUUUCAAAUACGUUUUUUUCAAAUAUGCAUAACAUUCGAGAAAUGUCUUCACGUUACAAAUUUAUAUGGCAAUUCAAAAAAUAUCGACCUUUUCUUGCCACCCACCUUUCACAAUCUUAUGUGCAAAAGGCUUGCCAACUCUUAGUACGCAAUCUUUCACCUUUCAAAAAAACUUUCUGACACAUUGCGUGGUAGGAGCUCAUACGAUGUUCUUAUGGUAUUCCUCCAUUGAAUGCUUUUCUCCAACCAAUGGUUAGUGAUGUUAGAAUGUAAGAAUCUACGUGUAUUGAUGACGAGUAUCACAUUCUUUCUGGCAAAGUUCCAAUCGAAUCUGUAUCGGUUGUCUUCACAACAGGACACUGCACGUUGUAUGCUGGAAAUCAUUUAAUUGUGCCAAAAACAUCGCCCUCAAAUUGAAACUUUUCUUUUUCCUAUAUCAUCAUAAACCUCCACACCGUUCUUUCCUUAACUCAAAAUUUUAAAUCUUCGAUCAGAGGUGUCAAGUAUACCGUCUAUGUCAUUCCCUGGUUGUUAUAGGCCCAUGAGAUUAACAAGUAUAACUAUCAUGUAUUACGCUUCAUACAUAGCGACGGAGGUAGGUUAUAAUAUAGAAUUUCACAGGCAUGUGGUAUGUGAGAUUACUUGAGACCAUGUGGCGUUCAUUCCAUCAGUAGAUAAUGCCAUGAAGGUUUCUUGCUUCUGAUCCAAACUCAGGAUAAUCAUUAUCAAUCUUCGACCACUGGGUGAAUCAGCCGGAUUGCCGAUACUUCCUAUCAUAAUUUCUUUUCAAUCUGCAUGCCAAGUAAAGAUGUUUUUGCAUCGGUUUCAGCUACGAAACAGUGCGGCCCUAAAUCUCGGGAAUUAUCGGAAAUAUUACCAUAAGACUUUUUGCGGGAUUUUUCUUAUACGAGGACUCAACCUCAUUAUUAGGGGCACUCAGUUAAAACAUUGCAUAUUCGUUACAAAACAAAUGCAAUCGGUCUAGGACAAGCAUGUAUCUUAUCAUAGCUCAUGCAAUAGAGCACUAAACAAUUUUUUUUUGCCUCAUAGGUUCGUUUUUAGGAAGGAAACUAUCAUUCCGUUGGUAGCAUUUCUUCUCAUUAAGGGCCAACAACUCUGGCUAAAACUUUUAUCCGCACCAUCAUUACCCGCCUUUAAGUUGUACACUUUAAUAGCAGAAAAUCUUUGAGAAUUUAGUGCAACUUGUGUCACAACGGUUUCUCUUCUUAUAGCCUCCUCUCAAACAUUUCAGAGACAUAUCAUGAAGAUCUUCUCCAGUGUUUGCUUUCUACAAAUCUCUUUCAACUCGAUCACAAUCGUUUAUGUUUCCGUGUCUUUCGUCGUAUGAAGCGCUAGGUCGUCUACUUUUUUCCACUCGAUUUCAAACAUUCUCUCGUUAAUUUUUCUCACCAUGAAAUAUCCAACAUUCUUUUGAUAACUUUGAUUCAAUUCCAUGCCUCAGCCAAAGGCGAUUUCAAAUCCUAUGUGCGUCAAUCACUUACCUUAUAUAACAACGAACGCAAGCCAAGGACAAUGCAUUCGCUCUGGGUUUUCAGUCGUGUACUUGAACAAAUUACUAUAACGAAUUCCAAAACUUCGUACCUCUUGGUCAUCGCAUCGGCACAGAAUUCCAUUUUGGUUUUAAAUUUUUUUCCUCUUAUGGGUUUUUCCAUACUUAUUUUAAGUAAACUAAUUAAUCCAGACGGAAAAAAUUAAUAAUGUAGUAUCUUUGAACAUUCUCACCUGGUCAAAACUUAUUAUUCCAUAGGUUAGUUUCAAUGAAUCUUAUUCAAAUUGAUUUCAAUUACAUUCACCAAAAUCCAUUUAUACAUUCCUAAAUAGGUAUUCACCUGUCACCAAACUUUGUAGCUUGUUCUUUUUCAAGGACUAGCAGAGUUACUAAAUUGAUACACUUAACUUACUACUUUAACUCCUUUAGCAUUUCAAUAACUGAUUUCAAAAUACACUAAUAAACCUUUGUCCAUCAAUAACAAUUGCCAAUUCAAAAUGUAACCAACUCUGAAUACAUUUCAAAUUCUCAUAACAGUUUUCCUACUUAUAACAAAACUGUUCUAAUAAAAUCUAUAAUUAACAGUUUCUUAGCUAACUAUGAUAUCACUCAACAACAAUCAUAUUAUCUUAUCUUAACUACUUUACUUACUAACUUAUACUAUCAUUUCAAACUAAAUACUUUAAUUACCCUAAACACUUAAUGAUUCAACUUCAAAACCAACAUUCAACCUAAGGUUACUUCAAAAUCUCAAAUUGGGUCAUUUUCAUAUGACUGAAGUUUUUCACACAUAUACAGAACCAACAUGGAUACAGAAAAAUUUUGAUACAGAAAAAUACUCGAGAAAAAUAUAAAAAUAAUGGCUUUUGUUUUCACACAGAAUGUUUUCAUCAUAUAACACAUUAUUAUAAAAAUCAAAUAUCACUCACAAACCAUAAACAUUCACAAAGAAGAAUGAACAUAGUUCGAAAACCUCUACUUCAACAUGCAUGGUGUACAAAGAAGGGGAAAGAGAACAAAGAAAAUACGCGCCGCCCGUACAGUGAGAAGAAGGGUUUGUGCUGCCUGUGUUAUAGUGAGAAGAAAAUACGCGCCGCCUGUAGUUUUUUCUUUUUCUUAUGCGUACCAAAGAAAUACGCGCCGCCGGUUUGUUUUCCAGAGAGGUACAUAUCUUGUGAGCCGGCCGCCGAGAGUGAGAUAAGGUGUAGGGCUUUUUGUGGAAAUGGCGUAAGUUUUUGAGGUGACUGAAGAGAUGGGGUAAAACCAAAAAGUAGAACACGAAAUAGCGCUUUGUUGGUCUGAAUUUUAUUUUAUAGACCUUAGGAAUUUUGGUAAUUCCUUUACUAGCGCUUUCCAAAAGCGCAUUUCUAAACCCCUCCCUUAGAAGCGCUUUUGGUUUUAAUUUUUUUUUUAAUUUAAAGACUUUAGACAGCGCUUUAUCAAAAAGCGCUGUCUAAGGUCUAUAUUUAAUAAGCGCUUCCUAAAGCGUGUCUAAUGGGGGGGUCUUAGACAGCGCUUUUAUAUAAAAGCGUUGGUUCUAAGACCCCCCCUUAGACAGCGCUUUUUAGUUAUUUUUUGGACAUUUUCUUCGCUUUAUUUUAUAUUUAACCUCGCUUUCUGUUAAAUCGCUGUUCUUAGAUGCGCUUGUUAAUUUUUGGGAUAGUUGAGUCAACUGUAAGCCUUACCCAUUGGGUGUUUAAUUUAUCAGAGAUAUACCUUGUCAUUUACCGUUAUUCGAUCCAUCUUUUAACCUGUGAUCUCUGAACUAUUUACUACACUUCAUACAAACAUCAUUGCAUUUUGCAAUUUGUUCAUGCAUGUGCAUAUCACUUUUCAUACAAAAUUAUCAUUACAAUAUCCAUCACCCUUCGUCAUAUGGCCCGCAGUUGAUUUUUCCGUACUCAUAUCAGACUUAGAAGUAGCUCUUGAAGUCAUGGAUCCGUGUGUGAGCAAAAGUCAUAUUGCUUGGGAUAGAUUGUGAUCUCGACUAAAAAAUCAGCUUUGAUCCAACUUGUGGAAGCUAUGAUAGUUUCAAUAAAAAGGAAGACAUCAACACUGGCAACUCGUUGGACUAAUUUGUUUCUAUUUUGCAUUUGUACUUUUCUCUUCUUGUUAAAAGUUGCUUGUUGUUUAACAUUGUGUUUUUUUAAUGGUAUAAUGAUGAAGUAAUUUAUGCAUGUUUGAGUUAAUUUUCUCCCAUUCGCUCUCUUUCUUCUCUUAUAUCUCUUAAACAAAAAAUAUCAUAUUUAUUUCUUCCCAUUCACUUUUAUUUAUUCAUACUUUUGUUUUAGCAUAAGAUUUGAGGGAGGCAUGCCGAUAACCCAAUACAUUAUUUUGUUGGCUGUAUGCUUUCGGAUAAAAUUUCCUACUGAUGAUGUAACAUGCAUUGUUUCAAAUCCCAAACACUUUAGAGAGAUAAGGAGUAAAUCCUAUACAACCACUCGUUAGUAAUGGAGUUUCUUUAGGAUCUAAAAUAACCUUACAUUAAACCUGGGGCAGUUUCUUGGUAGUGUUCUAGCUAAUUCUGUUUCUAUGCAUUCAAAUCACAAUGAUUAGAUCCUAAAUAUGUGGUAUCAACUACAUGCCAUUCUUCGACACUUAGUGUCGAAGGCGUGAAAAAAUAAAGUUAUGUUUGGUUUGUUUCUUUCCGAUGACCAUUGACUCGACAGUCACAAUUUUCAAAAAAAGAUUCAAGAAAAGCCCGCUAGUUGAUACCCCAAAGGAGACUUAGGCAAAAAUAGGGCAAUCCUCUGCAUGGACUAAAGCUUCAAAGAGCGAGUCAUUUGCAAGAGUUGGGAUUAAGGGACAUAAAAAAAAAAAUCAAAUGAGUCAUGUCACGAAAUAAAACCCUUCAGUCAAUAACAUUCCAAAUCAUUAAAAGGUUCACCACAUCAUUAGAAGUAAGCGAAAUAAGUGACUGACAUUUCAAAUAAUAAAGAUCUUACAUGCUGAAUAUCGUAUAGAGUAGUGUGUGUCAAAUUAUUGUUGAACGUAGGAUUGUGGAUGAUCAUCAUGUAGAGUUGGGUUAAAUAUAAGUUUUGUUAGCCUUAUAAUCCUUUUUGUUUUCAAUACCUGAACCAAGCACGUUACAACCUCAAAACUAAUGAGGUUAGGGUUAUUCCGAAGCAUAUUACAGCUUAUAUUUUAUAAAACGGACUCUCUUAUUAUAUUCAACUAUCAUUGUCAUUGUUCUCGUUGUGUCUUCCUACUUUAAUUGCUAAAAUCAGCAUUACAUUUUGGACUCAUGGUCCACUCGUCACACACUUAUUCACAUAAUUCCAAUAAUAUAAUUUUUCAAAAACUUGCAUGAGUUUGCAUUAAAAUUACUCUCAUUUCUGAACAAACAAAUUUUACUUAACAAUCUCAGUAUUGUCAGGGAAUUUUCAAUCAAAGAGCAAUCAUAGAGCUUUGACCAUUUUUAAGACUAUUCCCACGAAUUCAGGUACCCAAAAACAUAAGUGAUCAUAGUCAAGAAUUGGUCAGUCUUAACAGUCUCAACAUCUGUUAAUAAAUGUGCAUAUCGUUAAGAUCAGGUUGAUUCUAGAGCAAUCAUCUUCUCAAUUCUAUUACACUGGGGCAGAUCACCUAGGGUUAGCGUUGGCCAGGGGCAAACCCCUUCAAUGUUCAGUUAUGGGUGAGUUAAGUCGACUUCAACGUCUCAUACCUGGGCAAGUUUUCAAAAAAUUUCACACUUCAAAGGAGUCGAUACAAGGAUAUCCUUUCAUGGAUCAAAAUUCUGGUGCAUCUUCAAUUAUAUGGGUACAAUUGCUUUCGAAAUCCUUUCGAGGUAUAAACAUUGCAUUCUCAAUUGGGGCAUAGAUGAAGCAUAUAGGGAGCAAGUCAUCUCCCUGACUUCAGUUGUUUCAAGCGGAAGCUUUUUCACACGUCAUCAAACUGAGAGUUCAGUGAGUGUCGGGGGAAUCAUGCUACCACCUUAAAAAAAUAUAACCUUUUGACGACAGAAACCUUUCUUGGAAACUCUUCUUCGCAAUAUCGCGCAGGUGGGAAUUUAGAAACUUCUCAAUCUUUACAUAAAAUAUUCUUCAUUAUGUCAUGUCAUCGUCCUUUUUCUAGAUAAGCCUAUGCAUAUCAUAUUCAUUUAUCAGGCUAUUAACUCCUAACAUGAACCUGACAUAAAACAAGCCUUGUAAACCUCAAAAAUCUACGCUAAGUCCAGUUUCCGUCUGGCAAUUAUUUUCAAGCUCCAGUUCCCGUCUGGCAAUUCUUUUCUAUAAGCCCAGUUCCCGUCUUUGGGCCAAUUUAUUUUUAGUUCUCGUUUUGGUUAUUUAUUACAAAGUUCAGUUCUCACCUGGAAAUUUAUUUCAAGGUUCCAGUUCCCGUUUUAUGGUUAAAUUUAUUCAAAAGCCCAGUUUUCCCGUUUCUGGCUAACCUUUUUCAAAGCCAGUUCGUCUGGCAAUUUAUUUCAAAACCCAGUUCCUCGUCUGGCAAAUUUAUUUUAAAAACCAGUUUCCGGUCUGCGUAUAUUAUUACUCAAAGUUCAGUCUCGCCUGUAAAUUUAUUUCCAAAGUCAGUUCCGUAUGGAUUUAUUUCAAAGCCCAGUUCCUGUCUGGCAAUUUAUUUCAAAAACCCAGUUCCGUCUGGAAUUCAUUUCAAAGCCUUUCCCGUUUCUGAAUUUAUUUCAAGGGUUCCAGUUCUCAUUUGGCGAUUUGUAUUUCAGAAGUCCAGUUCUUCGUCUUGUGCGAACUAUAUCAAAAAUCUUUACCAGUUCUCGUCUGGUAAAUCUCUAAUUACCAGUUUCUCGUUUGGUAGGUUCACAUUUCGAUACGCUUAGUCAAUUAUUUUUUCCCAGUCCCUUUGUAAUGUUGGUGUAAGCCUUGGUACUUGUAGUCGAAUAAUAAAAGGCAUUCUCUUUAUUAUGCGUUGAUUAAUAAAGUCCCUGGAAUAGUAGUCCGUUUAAUCGUAUUAAUUGUGACUUAAUAUGAGAACACAUUAAACAUAAGGACCAACUAUUCCUAAGUAUCCGUAGUCGAAGCUUUAGUGUGAAGUGGGAUGAAUUUAAGGCUUAGACUUAUUAUGUUUGUGAUCCUUGAUGAUCAUUAAUCUCAUGGUGAUGGAUAAAAGAGUUAUCAAGUCUUUACAUAGGUUAUGAAUAUUAGUGGAGUAAUAUUUAUACCUCGGAUUGACCGCUAUUGAAAUAAUACUAAAUAGUGAAAGUUUUGGUCAAGUGUCAUAAGUUUUAUUCUCAUGCGUGAUAAUAGGGUGUGUUCCACUCUUCGACCUGUGAACCACUAGGACCCUAGAUGUAGAGUCGAUGUGCUUAUUGCUGAUCCAACGUUAUUUUUAAUCUCACUCAUUUUUUUGCUUGGUCCGUAUGGAUAACCAUAAAGACAUUGAUGGGUACUCCACAGCAUGCGUGUAGGACAUGAUGACUAGAUGUGAAUUUGCCCAUCCUGCAUAACAGGAAAAUGUCUAUGGGCCCAUAUUUGAACUGGACUCGUAUCUUUUUGGGUCUAUACCUUGUGUUCAAUAUAACAUAAGGGCAAAGGGUAUUUAUACACAUAAGUUAUUAUUCACAGAAAGGAAUAUUGUCAGGAUUCAUACAUUUUGUGUUGUCGUUGGUAUGUGUAGCUGUGUUUGCUAGAUUAACCGCUCACUGUUUUUAUAUUAAUGCGUGAUUAAUAUAAUUGCCAACGUCACGAAAUUACCUACUAGGGUCACCACACAUGGUGACGUGUUCCUGUUAUGAGAGUAGAGUAACUAAGGAAUUACCGUAAGGUACCGGUUGUUGUUUCCUUAUAGUUGAAAUUUUAUAGACAUCGUUAAGUAUGGUGUACUUGAGUAGAAUACGAAUUGGUUAAGGUCCAAAUGGGGCUUAUAUGUGAUAAUGUUGGGCAUAUUAUAAGAAUAUGGGCCAAAAUCCACCUUAGUGGGCUUUUAGCUUGAAUGCCCAACAAAGUGGUCUAUUAAAUAGAUCCUUGUGCAGAAGCAAAAAUUUACAGUGACAUUCUUUUCGUUUUCACUCUCUCUCUCUCUCUCUCUCACUCAAAGCCUUCAUUCCGUACCAGCUAGCACUGAGGUAUUGAGGAAAUUCCGUUUCGGCACUGAAGUAAGAGACCUGUUGUCAUCUCGUUCAACGUUUCGAAUGAUUCGUUUCGUGGUAUUUGCAUCAAAGGGUUUGAUCGUUCACAAUGAGUAUCUGCACCAAAGUUUUCAACCGUCACAAGAGGUAUAAUUACUCUAUCUCUACUGAGUCAUGACCAAUUCUGUAAGGAUCUCUAAAGUGUGAGAAAUUUUUAUUUCCGUCGUCUUUGGUCGCCAAUCUCCUUCACUCGUCUGGUUAGCCUAACUUCUCUCCCCUCUUGGCUACCAGACGAUGGUAAGGAUAGAAUUGGACCCACAGCGCAGCGGAUUAAAUUUUCUCCUUUACUCGAGAUCGUCAUAUGAUUAGGAUAGCGUAUUACCUCUUGUGACGGUGAACCUUGGAUGCGACUCUUUGUGACCGAUCAAAACCUUUGAUGCAGUCUAACGAAACUCGAUCACGAACGUGACAUGACAACGUCAUCAGAUCCUACACAACGGUUUUCUCAAUCAGUGUCUACCUGGUACGAUUGAAGCUUUGAGUGAGAGAUGAGAGAUGGAGAUGAAACGAAAGAUGCAACCCCAAUUUUUUGCUUCUGCACAAAGGGUUUAUUAUUAGACCACUUGUGUUGUAAACUUAAGUGUAUUUGGCCAUAUCUAUAAUAUGCCCAAAAUGCACUUAAGCCAUGGUACCUUACCAUCUAUUUUCGUAUUCUACUUUCAGUACUACCAUACCUUCGAUGUUCUAGAUAAUUCACUGUAAGCGGCACCGUACUUACGGUAUUCCUUAGUUUACUUAUCUACUCAUCAAUCCGUCCUUUGUGUGUGACCUUUGAGUUUUCGUGACGUUGGCAAUUAUAUUAUUUAUACAGCUAGCGUAUUAAUUAAUUUAAACAUGCUCAGACAUCUGACACAAUGCUACCCACGAAAUUGGUGUAUCUGAGCCAAUUCUUCUGUGAAUACUAUUGUAUUACCCUUUGCCCUUAUGUUAUAUGAACAACAAUAUGUUAAUCCUGUCCAGUUCAAUAUUGGCCCAUAACAUUUAUCCUGUAUGCAGGAUGGGGCAUUCCUCUAGCACUCAUGCUCCCUCAAGCAUGCUUUGUGGGUAUCAACUUGUCUUUAUGUCGUUAUCUCAGUUACGGACAAACGUGGAUCUAGCAAAUAAAAGCACUCGACUCUACAUUAUGGCUCCAUAGUCGUCAGUCGAAUGAGUGGAACCACUAUUAAUCACCAUGAGAAUAACUUCAUCACACCUUGCCAUAACUUCUAUAUAGUAUUCUCAUAAGCGGGUCAAUCCGGAUAUCUUAACUCCUAAUAUUCAUACCUAUGUUAAUGACUUGAAUACUUUUAUCUCCAUGAUCCAUGAGAUAUGAUCAUCAGUGUCUACAAACAUAAUUAGUCUUAUGCUUUAAUGUUAUCCACUUCACACUAAAGCUCGACUACGGAUACUUUAGUAUAGUGUUGUUCCUUUAUGUUUAAUGUAAUGUGUUCUCAUGAUUAAGUCACACUUAAUACAUUAAACGGACUAUCUAUUCCAGGGACUUUAUUAAUCAACCAUAAUAAAGAGAAUGCCUUUUAUUAUUCGAUACAAGUACCAAAAUGUGUUGGUCUCUAGGGCUUACACCAACAACGAGGACUGGUGAAAAUAAUUGACUACCAAACAAGAACUGGUAUCGAAAUAGGUGACCUACCAAACGAGAACUGGUAUUAAGAGACAAUUUACCAGACGAGAACUGGUAUUUGGCAAAUGAUUUGUCGUACAAGAACUGAUUUUUGAUAUAGUUCGCCAGACGAGAACUGGACUUUGGAAAUAAAUCGCCAAAUGAGAACUGGACUUUGGAAAUAAAUUUCUAGACGGGAACUGGGCUUUGAAAUGAAUUGCCAGACGGGAACUGGGUUUUGAAAUAAAUUGCCAGACAGGAACUGGGCUUUGAAAUAAAUUGCCAUACGGGAACUGGACUUUGAAAUAAAUUUUCAGGCGAGAACUGAACUUUGUAAUAAAUUACCAGACGGGAACUGGGUUUUAAAAUAAAUUGCCAGACGGGAACUGGGUUUUGAAAUAAAUUGCCAGACGGGAACUGGGCUUUUGAAAAAGGUUGCCAACUGAACUUUGUAAUAAAUUACCAGACGGGAACUGGGUUUUAAAAUAAAUUGCCAGACGGGAACUGGGUUUUGAAAUAAAUUGCCAGACGGGAACUGGGCUUUUGAAAAAGGUUGCCAGACGGGAACUGGGCUUUGAAAUAAAUUACCAUACGGGAACUGGACCUUGAAAUAAAUUUCCAGGUGAGAACUGAACUUUGUAAUAAAUUACCAAACGAGAACUGGGUUUUGAAAUAAAUUGCCAGACGGGAACUGGGCUUUUGAAAAAGGUUGCCAGACGGGAACUGGGCUUUGAAAUAAAUUGCCAGACGGGAACUGGACUUUAGCGUCAGAUUUUGGGUUUCAAGGCUUUUUUAUGUCAGGUUCAUGUUAUGGGUUAUGCCUGAUAAAUGAUAUGAUAUGCAUGGCUUUAUGCUAGAGCAAAGCGACGUGACUAAUGCAUGAUGAUGAUUUAUGUAAUGAUUGGAAGGUUUCUAAAAUUCCCCUGCGCGAGUAUUGGAAGAGAAGGUUUUUUCCAGAAAGGCUUCUGUCUGUCAAAAGGUUAUAUUUUUUUUUAGGUGGUAGCAUGAUUCCCCGACACUCAUCUUGAACUCUGCAGUUGAUGACGUGUGAAAAAGCUUUCGCUUGAACAACUUGAAGUCAGGGAGAUGACUUGCUCCUAUAUGGCUCAUCUUGCCCCAAUGUGAUGGGUCUAUGCAAAAUGUUUACCUCGAAAGGAUUUCGAAAGCAAUUGUACCAUAAUUUGGAGAUGGAUUGCCCCAGAAUUUUGAUCCAUGAAAGGAUUUAUCCUUGGUUGAUCGACUCUUUGAGUGGUUGAAUUUUUUGUGCUCUUGAGGUAGCUUGCCCAGGUAUGAGCGUUGAAGCGACUUAACUCACCCUAACUGGACAUUGAAGGGGUUUGCCCCUGGCCAACCUAACCUCUAGGUGAUCUGCCCCUAGUUAAUAGAAUUCGGAGAUGAUUUGCUCUAGAUCAACUGAUUCUUGACAUGAUUUGCACAUUUAUUAACAGAUGUUGGAGACUGUUUAAGACUGACCAAUUCUUGGAGUAAUUUUCCUAUGAUCAACUUGAUGUUUUUGGGUGUCAUGUCCCUGAUUCGUGGGUUAUGAGGUAGUCUUAAUUCUGAUAAAUGGUCAAGCUUCUCUGAUUGCUCUUUGUUGAAAUUUCCCUGAUGUCAAGUACUGACUUGUAGUUAAAAUUUGUUUGUUCAGAAAUGGUAAUUUUAAUGCAAUACUCAUGCAAGUUUUUGAAAAAGAAUUAUUUAUUGGAAUGAUGUGAUAGUGUGUGACGAGUGGACCAUGAGUCCAAAUGUAAUGCUGAUUUAGCAAUUUAAAGUGUGAAAGACACAACGAGAAUAAUGACAUUGAUGUUGAAUAUUAGCAAAUCUUCAGGAGUCGGUUUACACAACUUUGCUGUAAUAUGCUUUCGGAAAUAACCCUACCUCAAUUAGGUCUUUUGAGGGUUGUAACGUGGCUUGGUUCAUGGUUAUUGAAACAAAAGGAUAUAAGGCUCAAACUUUAUUUUAACCCACCUCUUCUUCAUGAUGAUCUCCAAUCCUACGUUCAAUUAAUUUGACACACACUUACUCUUACGAUAUUUCAGCAGUGUAAGAUCUUUUUGAAAUGUCAGUCACUUAUUUCGCUCUUUAUGGAUGUUGGUGACCUUUUGAUUUGGAUAUGGUGGUCACUGAAUCUCGUUUUGUUUUGCUGAGGGUUUUUCGUGACCUCUUUUGAUUUUUUUUUGUCUUAAUCCCUAACUCUUGCAUGGACCGCUCUUUGAAGCUUUAGUCCAUCAGGAUUGCCCCUAUUUUUUGCCUAAGUCUCCUUUUGGGGUAUCAACUUAGCGGGCUUUUCUUUGAUUCUUUUUUUGAAAAUUUGUGACUGUCGAGUCAAUGGUCAUUCGGAGAACAACCAACAUAACUUUUUUAUUUUUCAAGGUUCCUUCGACACUUUAGGAUGUGUGCGAAGAAUGGCAUGUAGUUGAUCCACAUAUUGGAUAUUUCAUCUUGUGAUUUGAAUGCAUAGUCAGAUUAGCUGAACACUACCCUGCCCCAGGUUUAAUGUAAGGUUUUUUAGAUCCUAAAGAAACUCCUACUUCUAGGCUCGAUGUGGUUGACUAGGGAUUAACUCCUUAUCUCUCUAGUGUUUGGGGAUUUGAAACAAUGCAUGUACAUCAUCAGUAGGAUUUUAUCCGAAAGCAUACAGCCAACAAUUAUGGGUAUUUUGUUUUCGUCAUCCUCCCUCAAAUCUUUGCUAAAACAAAAGUUAUGAUAAAUAAAAGUGAAUGGGAGAAAUAAUUAUGUAUUUUUUGUUUUUGAUAUAAGAGAAGAAAAAUGAGCGAAUGGGAGAUAAUUAACUCAAAACAUGCAUCAUUACUUCAUCAUUAUUACCAUUAAAAACAACAAUGUUUAAACACAAGCAACUUUUAACAAGAAAGAAAGUACAAAUGCAAAAAUAGAAACAAAUUAGUCCAACGAUUGCCAGUGUUGAGGAUGUCUUCCUUUUUUGAUGAAACUAUCAUAGCUUCCACAAGUUGGUCUAGCUGAUUUUUCAUCGAGUCCACAUCUCCUCCCAAUGCAAUAUGACUUUGCUCCAACGGAUCCAUGAUCUUUCAAGAGCUACUUCAAGUCUGAUAUGAGUAUCGGGAAAUCAACUGCGGGCUAUGGACGAAGGGUGGAUGGGUUUUUUUUGUAUAUAUUUUGUAUGAAAAGUGAUAUGCAAUGCAUGACAAUUGCAAAUGCAAUGAUAUGUGUAUGAGUGUAGUGAUAUGUUCAGGAUCACAGGUUCAAAGUGUUUUCAGAUGGAUCAGAAUAACGGGUAAAUGACAGGUAUCUCUGAUUAAAUUAACCCCAUGGGUAGGCUCUACAGUUGGUACACUACGCCAAAAAGCGCUUUUAACAGCGCAUCUUAGACAGCGCUUUUAACAGAAAGCGCUGUCUAAGGUUAAAAUUAAAAUAAAGCGCUGAAAAUGUUCCAAGAAAAUACUAAAAGCGCUGUCUAAGGGGGGGUCUUNNNNNNNNNNNNNNNNNNNNNNNNNNNNNNNNNNNNNNNNNNNNNNNNNNNNNNNNNNNNNNNNNNNNNNNNNNNNNNNNNNNNNNNNNNNNNNNNNNNNNNNNNNNNNNNNNNNNNNNNNNNNNNNNNNNNNNNNNNNNNNNNNNNNNNNNNNNNNNNNNNNNNNNNNNNNNNNNNNNNNNNNNNNNNNNNNNNNNNNNNNNNNNNNNNNNNNNNNNNNNNNNNNNNNNNNNNNNNNNNNNNNNNNNNNNNNNNNNNNNNNNNNNNNNNNNNNNNNNNNNNNNNNNNNNNNNNNNNNNNNNNNNNNNNNNNNNNNNNNNNNNNNNNNNNNNNNNNNNNNNNNNNNNNNNNNNNNNNNNNNNNNNNNNNNNNNNNNNNNNNNNNNNNNNNNNNNNNNNNNNNNNNNNNNNNNNNNNNNNNNNNNNNNNNNNNNNNNNNNNNNNNNNNNNNNNNNNNNNNNNNNNNNNNNNNNNNNNNNNNNNNNNNNNNNNNNNNNNNNNNNNNNNNNNNNNNNNNNNNNNNNNNNNNNNNNNNNNNNNNNNNNNNNNNNNNNNNNNNNNNNNNNNNNNNNNNNNNNNNNNNNNNNNNNNNNNNNNNNNNNNNNNNNNNNNNNNNNNNNNNNNNNNNNNNNNNNNNNNNNNNNNNNNNNNNNNNNNNNNNNNNNNNNNNNNNNNNNNNNNNNNNNNNNNNNNNNNNNNNNNNNNNNNNNNNNNNNNNNNNNNNNNNNNNNNNNNNNNNNNNNNNNNNNNNNNNNNNNNNNNNNNNNNNNNNNNNNNNNNNNNNNNNNNNNNNNNNNNNNNNNNNNNNNNNNNNNNNNNNNNNNNNNNNNNNNNNNNNNNNNNNNNNNNNNNNNNNNNNNNNNNNNNNNNNNNNNNNNNNNNNNNNNNNNNNNNNNNNNNNNNNNNNNNNNNNNNNNNNNNNNNNNNNNNNNNNNNNNNNNNNNNNNNNNNNNNNNNNNNNNNNNNNNNNNNNNNNNNNNNNNNNNNNNNNNNNNNNNNNNNNNNNNNNNNNNNNNNNNNNNNNNNNNNNNNNNNNNNNNNNNNNNNNNNNNNNNNNNNNNNNNNNNNNNNNNNNNNNNNNNNNNNNNNNNNNNNNNNNNNNNNNNNNNNNNNNNNNNNNNNNNNNNNNNNNNNNNNNNNNNNNNNNNNNNNNNNNNNNNNNNNNNNNNNNNNNNNNNNNNNNNNNNNNNNNNNNNNNNNNNNNNNNNNNNNNNNNNNNNNNNNNNNNNNNNNNNNNNNNNNNNNNNNNNNNNNNNNNNNNNNNNNNNNNNNNNNNNNNNNNNNNNNNNNNNNNNNNNNNNNNNNNNNNNNNNNNNNNNNNNNNNNNNNNNNNNNNNNNNNNNNNNNNNNNNNNNNNNNNNNNNNNNNNNNNNNNNNNNNNNNNNNNNNNNNNNNNNNNNNNNNNNNNNNNNNNNNNNNNNNNNNNNNNNNNNNNNNNNNNNNNNNNNNNNNNNNNNNNNNNNNNNNNNNNNNNNNNNNNNNNNNNNNNNNNNNNNNNNNNNNNNNNNNNNNNNNNNNNNNNNNNNNNNNNNNNNNNNNNNNNNNNNNNNNNNNNNNNNNNNNNNNNNNNNNNNNNNNNNNNNNNNNNNNNNNNNNNNNNNNNNNNNNNNNNNNNNNNNNNNNNNNNNNNNNNNNNNNNNNNNNNNNNNNNNNNNNNNNNNNNNNNNNNNNNNNNNNNNNNNNNNNNNNNNNNNNNNNNNNNNNNNNNNNNNNNNNNNNNNNNNNNNNNNNNNNNNNNNNNNNNNNNNNNNNNNNNNNNNNNNNNNNNNNNNNNNNNNNNNNNNNNNNNNNNNNNNNNNNNNNNNNNNNNNNNNNNNNNNNNNNNNNNNNNNNNNNNNNNNNNNNNNNNNNNNNNNNNNNNNNNNNNNNNNNNNNNNNNNNNNNNNNNNNNNNNNNNNNNNNNNNNNNNNAUAAAAUUGUGGACAAUAUCAAGGGUAUGAACGGGAUCAAGUAUAUUUGUAUGUUCUGCACAAUAAUAAUUUGAGGUUGAGCCAUAUGUUGAAAUGCACAAGGAUGUACUCCGAAGGUUAAAUUCCGAACAGAAAUGAAAUAGGAUAGUUAUAGAGCACAAUCAAAGUUUCAUACAAUGGUUGAAGGAUCAUAUUUAUUUGAAGCGCUCUUCAGAAUCCUUCUUCUGGUAACAGAAAGGUUGAGAUGUUGGCCAUAUGGUCCAAGUUUGCAUUGUUGUUUUCUCAUAGCGCAUAUCAAUUAAUGGAUACACAUUUUAUACCAAAGAACUAGCAUGUAAGAGUACUAUGCAAAAUAGUGUGUGUCACCGUGCUAGCUGAAGAUGCAUAUAUCAAGUAUGAAGGACUUAAACCCAAAUAUGCAAUUUGUUCAUAUUUUGGAGUUAUUAGCACUAUUGGGUUUUGAUUACAGAAGUUUCAGAUUCCCAUCUUUGGUGCAAGUGGGUGAAUAGUAGUGGCAUACGAAUGGAUAAGUCUGGAUUUUUGCAAGUUGAUCUUACUAGGUGGGGUACAAAGAUGAACUUUUAUUCUAGCAUCUCAAGCUAAACAAGUGUUCUAUGUGAAUGACCGAAGAGUACAAAUGGUCUAUUAGUGCUUUCUCUAACAAGUGACUGAUGAUAGCCGGUGUCGAUCAAAUGUGAUAUUGCAUGUGAGAAUGAGUCACGCAUUAGACGGAAUGAGUGCAAUAGAAAUGAGAAGUUGAGGAUCUUAUACCGGAUGAGUCAUAUAUAAGAACGAUCAUAAUCGAGGAAUUUGGAUCAAUUCAUCCGUAGCAUUGGCUAAGACAAGUGAUAUAUUCCAACAAAGAAAAGAAAGAAUGUUAGUGACUUAGUAAUUAUCCAUGGUUUUUUAUUUUGUUUUCAUUUGGUUUUGAUUAUAAGUUAUAUGUGUAAUUGCAUGAUUUCAUAUAUAUUUUUGUAUUCGAUGCUUUGAUAUAGAUUAUAUCUUGAUAAUGCAUGAUUUCUUUAUUUUUUGUUUUCAAUUGUUUGAUUAAUAAGUUAUAUUUGAUAUUUGAUGGUUUCCUUGGUUUAUUACAGGUUAGACAUGGCUGAUGACCAACAUGAGGAAGUUAGUAAAGUAUCCGCGGAAGAAGAAAUCCGAAGAGGCAUCACAGUAAUGCGAAGGGGUGGUCCAAGGAAGAUCUCGAGCAUCAUACUAGAUGUCUCUUGGAACAACCAGGACAACUUAUAGAACCCUAAUGGCAUACCUUAAACUAGUUUCAUCGGUGCAUGCCUAGUAAGGAAUGAAAUUCCCAUUACAUGUGAUGAUUGGAGAAAAUAAGAGUUGAAAGAGUCUCAAAGAAAAAUUUGGAGUGAGAUAAAGGUACAAUUCAUUUGGCCCUUAAUUAUACGGUAUCAAUUAUGUUUUUCAAUUACCGAUACUAACUAUCAAUCGUGAUGUUUUCUUAGCGAUGUUUAACAUCGAAGAGAAAGAGAGGGUUUUGUAUGAAAUUGGCCCGAAGCUUCUUAGAGGAUUUCGGACAUUUUUAUCAUCCAAGUUCCUAAGGAUGCGGAUGGUAAUUUUGUGGUGCGGAGCUCCUAGAAAAAUUGAAAGUUUGAUAUCGGCUGAAGAAUGGGAAGCUUUCAAAUCCAAGAGACAAGACCCGACUUUUCAAAGAAUAAUGUACAAAUUCGAAAGAGCAUCAAGUCCGCAUAUCCGUACCGAAAGAGACGUUGUCGGAUAUGGGACGCUUAGAACAAUCCAUGGUAAGUAUUUAUAAAUGCUGAAAACAAAUUGUUCAUCAUAUAUUAGUUUAUCUGAUCAAAAUUGUAUGGACUUAAUGUGUAGCUGCAGAAGGAGGAAGUCAGAAACACUUCUUCCUGCACAUGUUUUGUGGAAGGAAGCCCCGUGUGGCAAAUCUGGAGUUCCUCAGAAGACGUUUUAAACGUAUACAGAAAUGUUGUAAGUAUAACAUUUUUUCAUUUAAUUGAACUAAACAUUUUUAACACAAAAUAUUUGACAAGUAUACGGUAUUUUAUCUGAUUUUUCAGGAGGAGCUAUCUCAGUCUCUAUCUCCCGAUGAUACUAAGAGCAUACUUAGUCCGGCAUUAAGUGUCUGGUAUUCUGGUCGGGUGAGGGUAGGAUUUGGAGUCACUCCGACCUCCCUCAGGUUAAAAAAGGAAAGGUCCUAGUAAUCGGGAGCUUCAUGCAAGAUUGGAAGCCUGCAGCUAGCUGAUGCAUUGAGGAGAGAAAGAAGGCUAGCGCCUCACGGAUAUACAGAGAUGCUUCGGACAAAAAAAAGUUAUCAACUGUACCUUUCAACCGAACAUUCAGAGGUAGUUACAUAUAAUUGUCUUAAAUUGAACUAUUUGCUUAAAUUAUGUAUUUGACAUAUACACAUUAACGAUUUCUUGUUAUGUUUUGGCAUUUCCCAUUGUCAGCUGUUAUUUGUCGUCACCACACUAUCGGAUGGUUGGCAAGGGAAAAGUGCAUUACGUUAGCGGGUAUUACUCCACACUGAGAGCUCCCGCUGGAUUUUGAGGUAUCAGUUGAUAUUGCAGUUGACCCGAAUGCAUUAUUUACCAUAUCCUAGCGAUGAUUUCGGAUGCAACAACGGUGCACGAACAGUAGUUCAGUUUGUUGCAUGCCGACAAACCUCAUAUGCGUAGGAUAUUAGGUAUGCUUAAAACUUAUGUUAACUUUAAUGUGUAUAUUCAAAGUUUUAAAUUUAUGCUUAAAAUUUUACUUACAUAUUUUCUUGAUUAUGUUAAAUAACUCCCACAAAAUCCAAAUCAAGAAAAGGAUAACAUUAUAUGACAUAUAUUCAUGGAAGUUGUUACAUUCUUAAUUUGAUCUAACUAUUUAUAUGACAUGUAGGUUCAAGAAUGAGGUUAGCAAUGCCUCCGCACAACAAAUAAAGGAGGUUAGGAACGCCUCCGCACCGGGUUAAAAAGUUCUGGUGCUAAGAAGACCGUUAGCUAGGAAAAAACCUACCACCAAGUAUAGGUCGUGCCUCAGGACAUUUAUAGAGAUGACCGAUAUACCGACGGAGUGUUCGGACUAUACAUAUGGAGGAAGGAUUUUCGGCUUUGAUCAGACCAAAUGAUUGGUAAGAAGACUUUCAUGCAAGUUUUUGUCAUGAAGAAAUCGGCGUCAACGUUGUCAUACAUAUAUUAGGUAAAUCCGGUCUACUUUGUCUUAUUAAUUUAAACAACUAUGUUAAGAUGUUUACUUUUAUGUUAAUCGGUUUACUUUAUGUUUUCAAAGAGGUUUGUUAAUGAUUGUUUUUAUAUUAGGUUUUGUAUGACAAAAUGACGCGCCCCAAUGAUUUCGACGAGUCAUUCGUGAUUCUUAGCACCCGCGAGCAUCAACUUAGGUUUAAUUUUAAUAGACCGGCAUACCGUGACGGGUACGUUCUUGGAUUCCUCAAUGACAAUAAAGAUGCGGAGAAUUGUUUUUUAUACCGUUAUACCGGUGCAUUUCAUUCUAAAUUCAUCUAUUAUAAUUAUUUUCAAGUUACCAUCUACAUUGCCUAAUCAUUACAGUGGAGCAUUGGUUGUUGCUCGCAAUCAUCUAUCCGAGAUAAUUGUUGUAUUAUCUUGACUGUAGAAAUGAUUGGACAACUACCGGAUAUGAAGUUCCUAAUGACACGUAAGUGAGAAUGUCAAAAAUUUUUCUUGUUUAUGUGAAUUUUCUAAUUGCUUCAUUUUUUUUUUAUUAGGCAUCCUACAAGCUUUUCGGGCCCAACGAGAUAUCCAAACCUCAAGGAGGGCGCCAACCGGCAUUACAUGGAUUAAAGUGGCGUAUAUUUUUAAUUACACAUAUUUUUAUUAUAUUAGUGGAUGACCACUGAUAAAACUUAGAUUUAUAAUCCAUAUUUUUUUUUCAUGUAGUUCCUCAACAACGUAUCAAAUAGAUUGCGGGUAUUUCGUGUUGAGGUUUUAUGCGGAUAUCUUGCUUGGGCCGUAUAGUUGAUCCACCGAUGUAUGUAUUUCUAACUUAUGAGUUUUUUAUAUUUCACAUAUCUCAUAUAAUUAAAUAGUUGGAAUUAAUUCAAAAUAUUUAUAUUAUUAUGUAGUACUUGAGGAAUUCAAGUGUGCAUUUUAUACAAAGGAUCAAGUGGACGAAAUCAAAGAGGAGUGGUGUCAAUUCAUGAUAGAGCUCCAAAGUUUUUUCAUAAAUUUGUGUAAUUAAUGUGUACAUUGUAGUAUAUGUAAUGACUUGUAAAUGUGUACAUAAAUUUGUAUAUAUUUUGAUACAUUUAAGGCAAAUUAAAAUGUGUUUGAUUGGUAUAUAUAUAUAUAUUUGUUAGCCAAAAAUUGGUAGAAAAAAGGCCAAAAAUGGCAUUGUAUAUAAAUGUGAUAACUGUUGUCAAAAUCUGGUUGAAAACAGGGUAGAAAUUCUGGUUUAUAAACCUGGAAAAAAUGUGGUUUAAAACAAAAGCUUUCAAAAAUUUCGUAUUACAUUAGACAGCGCUUUUGUAAAAAGCGCUGUCUAAGGGGGGAUUAGAAAGCGCUUCAGGCAAAAAGCGCUGUCUAAGGGGGGCUUAGACAGCGCUUUCUGAAAGCGCUGUCUAAGCCCCCCCCUUAGACAGCGCUUGUAAAGCCGCUGUCUAAGGUAUACCUAAAAAAAUUAAAAUAGGGGGGCUUAGACAGCGCUUUUUUGUAAAGCGCUGUCUAAGCCCCCCCUUUAGACAGCGCUUUGCCAAAAGCGCUGUUCUAAGGUAUACCUAAAAAAAUUAAAAUAGUGAGGGGUCUUAGAAAGCGGCUUUUUGGCCAAAGCGCUGUCUAAGGGGGGGGUUAGACAGCGCUUUUAAGAUUUAAACAAGCGCUGUCUAAACCUUUAGCAGCGGAGGCUUAGACAGCGCUUUAAAGCGCUGUCUAAGGCUAAAAAAAGCGCUGUCUAAGGUCUUGUUUGGCGUAGUGGUAGGUUCCUAGAGUCACAAAUAUUUCUUGAGGACGUCACUGUCGUGACGAAGACUUGUCGGAUAGUAAUAUCCUUAAGAAGAUCUCAUCUAGGUGAGGUCUUCGUAUUGUCCCAACAAGGAAAACUCCAUGAGGAUUUUACUACACGACUCUCGAGUCCAGGGUUCUAACAAGGUUCUCAGAGUCAUAAAUCGAGGUUGGAAAUAUUACUGUAAGAUAGUAAUACGUCUAAGGGAUCUCAUCUGAUUAGGGCUUUCAUAUUAACCCAAUAAGUCUGGGACUUUUCAGGUAGAUACUACAUAACCACCGGAUAUAAUGGGUUAAAAGGUCCCUAGAGUCAUUGAUCCAACUUGAGAAUACUAUCGUCGUGACGAAGACUCGUCGGGCAAUAAUAUCUCAAGAGAAUCUCCUCUAGGCGGGGUCUUCGUUUCUUCCCAACAAGGAAGACUCCUUGUGGGCGCCCACUACGCGACCACCAACUUAAUCUUAUGGUUUUUCUCAGACUCGGGUGGAGAGCCUAUCUCACAAAGUAUCACCAACCAAAGAACCCCAAAUAAGACAUAGUCAAUAAAUCACAAUAUAAUAAUUAUGACAAAAUAAUAAUGACAAAAUAAAAAAUAACAGAUAAACAAACAAGAUUAACACAUAAUACAGAAACUGAACUAAAUUAGGCUUCACUCUCUUUUGUUCAGCCAAAUAUCCCCAGCAGAGUCACCAUCUGUCGCAUCUCGAAAAAUACGAUUCCUCGCGAUGGUCGCGGAAAAAUUAAGGUUCGAACAGAGUCGCCACCUGUCGCAUCUCGAAAAAUACAAUUCCUCGCGAUGGUCGCGGAAAAAUUAAUGUUUGAACAGAGUCGCCACCGAACUUUAUUUACCCCAAUGAAGGGAUAGGAAAAUAUCGAUAAAACUUUUAGGAAAUGGAAUAAUGGUCGUCGCAACCAUAUUCGGGUUCGGGAGUGGAUUACGUAAGGGGAAGGUAUUAGCACCCCUUACGUCCGUUGUAUUCAACGGGAACCUUUUAGUUCUAAUGUGCGUUUUGAGUGUUAAUUUUGUUUGUUAUCUUUGGGUUAUAAAAUUAUUAAAAAUAGAAAUGGAUGAGAACCUCAGAAAGGGAAAGGGGAGGUUUUUUAUUAGUGUGCUCGCGAAGAUACAACAAUCUCCUGCCUACGUAUCCUAAAAUGGAUGAGAACCUCAGAAAGGGAAAGGGGAGGUUUUUUAUUAGUGUGCUCGCGAAGAUACAACAAUCUCCUGCCUACGUAUCCUUAAAUAAGGAAAUCAGAGCAUUCGUAGUUCGGGGAACUACUGUUGGUUGGUGUUUUUCUAAUGAACAAACUGUUUAGAUCGUAUCCUAAAGGCUAAACGUUGGCUUGUCUACUCUCGGCGGAGGCUUAAGCAUUAGUUUGUUGUGCGCAUUAGAAAUGAUAAAAUAGUGUUCUUUUUGAAAAGAGUUUUGAUCACACGAGGGUGACAAGCUAGAUUAAUAUGUUGGAUAUUUUGUUUGACUGGUUUCGAUCGCACGAGGGCGAGGACAAAUAAAUUUGAUGUGUUGAGAUAUUUUUGGUUGGAUGACGAUUAAUCGGAUAGUCAAGUAAGACAACUCGUAUCCUAGCAGUCGGGAAAGGGAAUAGAAGACUCUAGACCACUUUCUUUUUCAUCCUUAAUUAUAGAAAGGAUUUAAUAAUAAUUAAGGUGUUUUAAAUGGAUGACGAAUACUCGGAUAAUCGAGUAAGACAACUCGUAUCCUAAUAAUCGGGAAAAGGAAUAGAAAACUCUAGACCACUUUCUCUUUCAUCUUAAUGAUUUUUAAAAAUAAGUUUAUGUAUGAUCGAUGUAUUUAGAAUAAACGACACAGUGCUCGAAUGACUGAGUAAGACAACUCAUAUCCAAGCAUUUGAGAAGGGAAUGAAAACUCAAUACCAUCUCCCUUUCGUACAGUUUAUUAUGAAAUGAUUUGAUCUUACGUAUAAGUUGGUGGAAAAUAACAAUUGUUCGACUGACCAGUAAGAGAACUUGUAUUCAAACAAUUGAGGAGAGAAGUUGAAGACUCAAAGUCAUCCUUUUUCAUUUAGCUUUUGAAAGUAAUUUAAUUUAAUCGGGGUUUAGAAGUUUGUAGAGGAACGACAAUUAUUUUGAAUAACCAAGUAAGAGAACUUGUAUUCAAAUAGUCGUGGAGAAAAAAUUGAAGACUCAAAGUUAUCUCCCUUUUAGUUCUUGUGUAAAAGGAUUUGAUUUGUUGUGCUAAAUGAAUUAGAAAUGACGACCAUUUGACUAACCAGUAAGAAAACUCGUAUUCAAAUAAUCGAGGAGAGGAGUUGAAAACUCAAACCAUCCCCCUUUUCAUUUUCAAAUGAAGGCUUUUUAAAUGUGAUAAAUAUUUUAAUUUAUCUUUCGAUGUCGGAUCGAGACUUUUAAAUUUGCAUUCUUGUGAAUGAAUUGAAUUUAUUUGGUGAAUAAUCCAUUUAAUCGAUUAAUUAAAACCGAAUAGGUCUCAUUGUAAGAAAGCCAAGAGUAAGCAUGUGAGGUUGAUGGCGAUGCUUUUUCAAGCGAUCGACUUACAAAGGCAUUUAAAUGGGCUCGACUUUGAAUCGAGAAGUUCUAUUUGUUUUUAAAAAAUUGUUUGAAUUGAUGGCAUGAGAAUUUAUAUCCUUUUUGUAUCUUUUAAGUCUUUAUCAUUUUUAGGUUCAUUUAAGAUGAGAUGAAGAAUGUACAAUGAUAUAGCAUAGAGUGAAGUAAAAAAUAAAUAAAUGUUAGAGGCGGAAUUAAAAGAGUUACAUGUAAUUGCGGAAAUUAAAAAUUAGAGUUAAUCGUUAAAUGUUAGGUGUUAAUUGAAAUCAACAUGAAAUAAUCAAGAGAAUUACAAUAAAAUAUUAAAUCUAAAACAAAUAACUAAAGUUUAAACAACUAAUAAAAAGUUCAUUAAAUUAAAACUCAAAACAAUAUUAAACUAUCGAAAAUCUCAAUUCUAAACUAUUAUCCAAAAUAUUAAUUUUAAAAUAUUAACAAAGAUUAAAUUCUAAAAUCAUUCUAAAUUAAUAAAAUUCUAAAAUAAAUCUAAAUCACAAUAGAAUUCUAAUUAAUCCUAAUUAUUUCUAAAAAAAAAUUAUCUAAUUAAAUCCUAAAAUAUUAACAAAUUAAUUUAAAAUCAUUCUAAAUUAAGUUAAAAUUCUAAAACAAAUCUAAAUCACUAGAAUUCUAAUUAAUCUAUAAUUAUUUAUAAAUAAAAAAAUUAUCUAAUUAAAUUCUAAGAUAUUUCCAAUUAAAUUCUAAAAUCAUUUCAAAUUCAACUAAAAUUCUAAAAUAAAUCUAAAUCAAAUAGGAUUCUAAUUAAUCUACAAUUAUUCUUAAAUAAAAAAUUAUUUUAAUUAAAUCCUAAAAUAUUAACAAGAUUUAAAUUUUAAAAUCAUUCUAAAUUAAGUUAAAUUCUAAAACAAAUCUAAAUCACAAUAGAAAUUCUAAUUAAUCUAUAAUUAUUUCUAAAUAAAAAUUAUCUAAUUAAAUUCUAAGAUAUUUUCCAAUAUAAAUUCUAAAAUCAUUCCAAAUUAAACUAAAAUUCUAAAAAUUAAUCUAAAUCACAAUAGGAUUCUAUUAAUCUACAAUUAUUUCUAAAAAAAUUAUUCUAAUUAAAUCCUAAAAUAUUAACAAAGAUUUAAAUUUUAAAAUCAUUCUAAAUUAAGUUAAAAUUCUAAAACAAAUCUAAAUCACAAAAGAAUUCUAAUUAAUCUAUAAUUAUUUCUAAAUAAAAAAUUAUCUAAUUAAAUUCUAAGAUAUUUUCCAAUUAACAUUAAAAAAAUCAUUAUGGUCUUAACAAAAACCAACCAAUCGUAUGGGGGGUGCUGAUAGGGAUUAAUGGGCCAAAUCUGGAAGGCCCGAAACAGACCCACCUAGGUUAACUUAAAACAGAAAAAGGAAAAGGAAUCGUUGCUUUCUCAAUAGCCUUUCUCUCUCUGCAAUUUUCAGCCGCUCCAAAACUCAGCAAACCCUAAAAACUUCUCUUUCCUCCCGGAGAAGACGGCCGAAGGCGACGGCUUAUGGUGGAGCCUCCCUUCUUCUCCGGCCACCGUCCCUAAAACACAACUUAACCCUCUAAAUACCCCCUUUCGAGUUCGAAUCCAACCUCUAAAAAUCCCUAAACCCUUAACACAAAACCGAUUCGCCCUGAGCUAACGAGUACGAAGAACAACCAAGAAAGAUCAAACGAAGAACCGAAGAGAAAGAUCGAAGUCCGAAUCGAGGAUUCCAAAGAGCGAAAUGCUAAGGGGUUCGCUCAAAUCGGAGCUCAAACGAAAAACACCCAGGAGCGAGCAAACGAGAUAGACAGUGCGAAAUCCAGUAUAAAUGAAGAUUAUGCAAGUUCUUUUUAAAAUGAGAGGCAAGGGGUUUUACCGUCCAGUAGGGCUUUCAGGUAAAUCAACACUUUUCUUCUCUCCUCUAAUACUGUUGCGCUUUUGAAGAGGUAGGAGGAUCUAACCUCACCUAGGCCAGAGUUUCAACGAGAAAACUCUCUCUUAGAUUUUUGAAAACUUGAGUUUUUUUGUGAAAAGGUCCUCCUUUGGAUUUUUCUACUGCGUUAUCUUAUAUCUGAUAAUCUUUUCACAGAUGAAUUUUUAAGUCUAAAAAAAAGCUCUGUCUGUUAUGCCUUUUCAUUCCAGGUUAUUUUGGAUUUCAUUUUUGUAAAUGUGUUACUGUUUUAAGCCAUUUUCGAAAUGUUUUUUGAGUAUUCAUGUUGGUCUUCUGGAUAAAGUGUUAAACUGAUUAACUUAUUAGUUAUUUUUCAGUUCUUUAAGCGCUUUUGGAAAGGGCUUUUUAUUUAAGCUGUUUUUCUCUCUGCAGGUUACAACGUGAAGUGACUUUGAUGGAUAGUUUGUGGGCUGUAAUACAGCAAGGUUGGAGGCGCGUCCCAGUUCAAAGAGAUUUCAAUUUGAUUACCUGACUUUGGUCUUUAGGAUUUAUUCCCAUUUGUAGCAAAUUUCACUGUAAUUACAUUGGUUUUUUUUUAAGACAAAUGUCUGCUUGGAUUAUGUAACUUAUUGAAUUAAAAGUCUAAUAACCAUUAAUAAUUAUGUAUUCAACCUUUUAAUCUUUCAAAAUUUAACUCAAUAUUUAUUUAUGCUAAUCAAUUUCAACUUUUUUAAAAAUCAACAAAUUUCUAACUUAAGUACAAUGAAUUAAUCUAAAAAUAAAUUUCUAAUUUAAGUAUAACGACUUAAUUUAAAAACAAAUUUCUAAUUUAAGUAUAAUGAAUUAAUCUAAAGAACAACAUAAUUACUAAGUAUAGUAAUUUAAUUUAAAUAACACAAUUCUAUUUUAAAUACAAAAAAAAUCUAAACAUGAGACUUUUAAUUAAAAAAAAAACACAAUUCUAUUUUUUUCUAAAAAAUGCAAAUUCUAAAUAUGGGAUUUUUGAAACAAAGAAAUCUCAUGGAUUAAACCAAAAUGGUCGGACAAAAUUGGGGUAUGACAAUGUGAUUUAUCUCAAACUCUUCGAACAUUUGGGACAUCUUGAGAGAUUUUUGAAAAUAUUUGAUCAACGAUAAAUCCUUUGUCUGAAAUUCUCCCUUAACUUGGCAGGUGAUCAACUGAGAUUCAAUUUGGACCAGUAAAUGCGUCACGCCAACCUCUCUCGCUAACUUCAUUUCUGCAAUUAUAGCUUUGUAUUCUGCCUGCUUAUUGCUAGACUGAAAAUUAAAACACAAAGAGUAUUCAAGCAUUAGGUCAUCGGGUCCUUCUAGCACUAUCCAUGCUCCACUUCCUUUGAUAUUAGAGGACCCAUCAACAGAUAAAAUCCAUUUGUACGAUGAUUCUUCUGAAACCAGAGCACUCAACUCGUUCAAGAAAUCAAUGAGGAUUUGAGACUUAAUGUUACUUUGAGGCACAAACUUUAUAUCAUAUUUUGAUAACCCUAUCGGCCAGACGACCAUUCUUCCUGCCAAAUCUAGCUUUUUUAAGAUUUGUUUAAUAUGAUAGUUGGUUUUGACGAUAAUGGGGUGUCCUUGAAAAUAGUAUCUCAAAUUUCGGGUUGUGACCACUACUGCCAACACGAGACGUUGAAUCUUCUAGUAACGUAACUUUGCUCCUUUCAGCACAUUACUAACAAAAACAUAUCGUUUUUUCUCCUUCCUAGGUUUCCUGAACUAAUACCAAACUCAUAGUUAUGUCUCAUACUGCUAAGUAUAGGAUAAUUGUUUGGUUCUCUCUGGGUCGUACCAAGAUGGGGGUGCCGAUAAGAAAUGAUUUACCUCUUUAAAAGCCUAUUUUAUUCCUUCAUCCACUGGAAUUUCGUUGAUUUUCUUACCUCAGUGAAGAAAUGGAUCGAAUUAUCCCCUACAUAAGAUAAAAAAAUGGUAUAAGGCGGCCGAAUGCCAUGUUAACUAUUGUACCUCUUUUACUGUUGACAGGCUCCUUAUGUUAACGAUUACUCGGCAUUUACCCAGGUUCGCUUCUAUUCUUUGGUUGGUUAACAUAAAUCCCUUAAAUUUCCCUGGUUGUACUCCAAACGUACAUUUUUUCGGAUUUAGCCUCAUAUUAUAACCUCAUAUUGAUGCUUCCUAUUUUUCCAAACGUACAUUUUUCCGGAUAUAACCUCAGAUUGAUGCUUCCUAUCUUCCGGGGUUUUUACCACCAUAUCAUCUAUGUACACCUCCAGAUUAUAUCAUAUCUAUGAAGCAGACACCAUAUCCAUCAGUCUCUAGUAGGUAGCCCCUGCGUUUUUUAGCCCAAAGGGCAUUACCUUGUAAUAGUAAUUGUUCUUAUUGGUCAUAAAUUUUGUUUUAAGGGCAUUUAGUGGAUUCAUUCGAAUCUGGUUUUAUCCUGAGUAGGCAUCUAGAAAACUAAGAAGACGAAAACCGGAAGCCUCAUUAAUGAGUCGAUCAAUGUGAGGAAGUGGGUAGGGAUCUUUUGGGCAUGCUUUAUUCAAGUCGGUAAAGUCUACACAUAUUUUCCAUUUUCCUGACUUCUUCUUAACUAUGUCAGCUAACCAAGUCGAGUACCUGAUCUCCUUAAUAAAGCUGACAUUCAUGAGCUUUCCGACUUCGUCUUCUACAACCCUUCUCUUUUCUUCGUCCUCCUUCCUCUUUUUAUGCGCUAUUGAUUUGAUGGUCGGAUCCAGUGCUAGAUGGUUACAAACUAUGUUAGGGUCAAUGUUGGGCAUAUCAGUCGGUUUCCAUGCGAACAAAUCUACAUUCUCCCUUAAUAUUAUGACGAUCUCGGCUUCUUCCUAAGGGGAUAGGCUAGAUUCGACCUGAGUUGCUUGCGAUGAUUGAGAACUAAUAUGUAUUGUCUUUACAUCCUCAAUAGGUGUAACGUUAUCCUUUAUUGGAUCUUCCUUUGGGUCGAUGUCAACUAUGUUCACUUUUACUCGAUCGUCUUUGACUGGCUUGUCGGCAUGAGUUUUCUUCUUAAGCUUCAGACUAUCUUUAUAACAUUUCCUUGAUAUCCUUUGAUCACCCUUUAUUAUUCCUACUCGGCCAUCUUUCAGAGGGUAUUUUAACAUGAGGAACGGAGUGGACAACAUUGCCUCCAGAGCAUUGAGGGUCUUCCCACAAUAACAUUGUAGAGAGAUGUAGUGUUGAUAAUUAAGUACCUCACCAAAACACUUUUUCAUUUUCCCUAUUACCAAAAGUAGUCAUCAUGGGCAAGUGUCCUAGCACCUGCACCGAUUCUCCCGAGAAUCUAACUAACGAACCUUUAAAGGGAAACGACUCGAUGAUAUCAAAGUUCAUUCCCUUGAAUGCUUCCCAGUAUAAAAUACUCGUCGAACUUCCUAGGUCGAUUAGAACAUCUUUCACGUUCCAGUUCCAGAUUUUCACUUUGAUCACCAUCAAGUCAUAUUCAUGGGGUAAUACUCUUUCGACGUCUUUUUUAGAGAAGGUGAUUGUUGCCUGGUUUUCUCUCUCUUCUAAAGGUGACUUCUUCCUCACAUGCACCAUUGUCCGAGCAUACCUUUUUCUAGCUGAACUAGGUUCUCCUCCUCCUGCAUAUCCUCCAGCAAUGAUGUUUAAUGUAUGACGAGUCAUGUGUACCUCAUAUAUGCUUUUCCCCUUCUUCUGUAUAGGGUUAUCUUAGUUGAUGUCUUCUCGAGAAGGACUUUUUUUCCCGACUGUCCCCCGAUGUCUUUAACAUUGGACAAUAACUGACCCCUUUGAAUUAAAGCCUCAAUUUAUUUAUUUAGCUGAUGACAAUUCUCUGUAUAGGGUUUUCAGUCUGACGCACAUAUUCCGAUAGUGGGGAUACAUAAUUGGGCAUAUGAAGGACAACAUUAAGGCUAUUUUGGGCCAAAAUUUGUUGGACCGCGUUAGUUAUAUUGAUUUGUAAACGUAAAAGUGUGACUUUGCAAUCCUUCAAUCAUGGUAGUUGGCAUGCCAUAUGGGUAAUCUUUAGUGAUAGAGGUGGCGUAAUAGUUGGGACAUAAGGGGCGUAUGGUCAUCUAAAAUAGCCAUAGUAUCCCUAGGGGUAGUUGGGAUAUUCACUAAUGGUGGUAACGAGACUACCAUUCCUGGUAAUGACGUCGAAGUUGUUAUUAGGUCAGGAUUUGAUGUCCCUGCAGUACCAAUCAUCGAUGUGACCAGUGGUUUUGUGUCUGGAGUAUCAUUUCGGGGACGAGAAAUACUUUAUGGAGGAACCAUUUCAUCCAAAGUCCUACCAUUUUUCAGACACAUAAACUUCCACACAUUGAAAAUAUUUCAUGUAAAAAAUAGAAAUAACAAAGUAAUGUAACACUUUCUUGUAAAAAAAAAUUGCCCAAAAAAGGUCCCAUUGGCCGUGUCAAUUUGUUCGCAUGUGUUUUUAGCAAAUAAUCACGAGUUUUGUUCACUUGUGAGAUUAACUCGAAAAAUUUAGAGAGCAUUCUGUGCAAAGUAAAUAUACAAGAAAGAGUGUGUAUGAAGUGAAUGUGAAUGUCUGUAUGAAGACAAAAAGGACACAAACUUUAAUAACAUAAAAGAUUGAAUCAAUGUAAUAAAUGAAAAGUACAAUAAAUGAAAUUAAAUAAGAAAUGUAGUAAAUGACUAUUAAAGUAAAGUGUUUCAAUUAAGAAAACAUAAAGACAAUGAAAGAAAGGGACAGAGACUCGUACAUGUUCCUCACAAACAGUUUCGCUCUUUGACUUGGGUACUCCAGUUCUAUAGAGAAGUAUAUGAAUUUUGCGAUCUUUAUUAUAAUGCACGAGCCUACUAUUUAUACUAAACUAAAGAUAAUUGUCUCCUAAAAUUUAUUCCUAGAAAAUGGACAUGUAUUAAGAACAUGCAAAUUAGUCUUCUAAGGCUCUUUCACGUUGUCAGAACUUGCAAACUGCUGAAAACCAUUAUCUUGCGUUUGUAACUGCUCCAAGCAUAUAAUUGUCUGCUUGUCAAAGGUAGUUUCUGAAGAGCUAAUGCUGAGAUGAACUUUCAAGCCUUUGGAUUCUAAAAUCUUCUAAUUAUUUGAUGUUUGUUAAACUCUUCUACCUCGACAUGGUGUCGAAAGAUCAUCUAGAUCUAAUUUUGAGAUACUUCUAAAUCAUUUUCAGCACGCUAGUCGAAACACUUCAAUCGUCGUGUUUGUUAUGUCGAAGCUUGUCAAUAAAUGACAACACUUAUCAUUUUCUCAAGCAUUCUUUGUUGACCUUUAUCUAACUAGAAACUCUAGGUUAACAACUGGUUGGGGGCAUAUCCUAACUCUUCAGCACUUUGAUGGUCUCCUCAAAUUGUCUCAUCUCAUCCACCAUGCAGCAGGUACUUCAGGACUAGGUACCAGGUGGAAAUAAGCGCUCCCACCAUAUUGGUGGUGGGGCAACCUAAAAUGAUGUUGUAGGGCGACAUGACGUCUAUUAUGAGGUUGCUGACUUUGAUUGCCUUGGGGCUUAUUCCCUCUCCAUAUGUUGUCUCCAUGGUCAUGUGGUCCUUCUCUUAUAUAUGUUCAUUUAACAGUCCUAUUAACGAACCCUGAAAGGUUCUGAUGUUGUUGGGGUCGAGUUGGAGACCAUGGAAAGCAUCCCAGAACAAGACGUCGGCAGAACUCUCGGGAUGUAUCAGGACCCGCUUGAUGUCCUAGUUGCCAUGUUGCAUAGUGAUGACCAAUGGGUCAUUAUCGCGAGGUAGGAUUCUGGCAGCAUCAUUACUAGAGAAGGCCAUGUCAAUUAUUGAUUCUCCUUGUUCCCUUUUUGGGAACCUUGGGGAAAUGAUGUUUGUGGUCAGCACCUUCCUGAUGUAUUUCCUCCGGGAGGAGUUAGAGCUUUCUUCACCAGCGAAACCCCCAGCUAUGGUCUUUGGAACACCCUUCGUGCGUAAUUAUCAAAGAAUUUAAUUAACGAAAUACAAUCACAUAGGGUGUUACUCACAAUAAUCAUAUCAUGCUCCGUAACACGGGUUACAAUAAAACAUUUUACUGCAUGCAUUUGCACUUAGGAUGCUUACACGACAUCCAACUCAUCUGAAUAUCUUCGCAGCAGAAUCAUAAUAAGAAAAACAUACCAAUUUAAAACCUCAUAAUAGUUUUCAUAACAAAAUUAAAAGUACUGACUCGUGAGUCUUCUCCAAGUGCUAUCACACCAAAACAUAAAACAAAUGCGAGAGCAUGCAUUGUCUCUUAGGAAAUUUCAACACAAAAUAAAUAAUUUACUUCCCAGUGUUACAUAUCAGAGCAUAACCAAAGCUAACAUGAAUAAACUAAAAUAAAUAAUUCUGGGAGCUAACUUCCACUCAUAGUAGUGUCUCUACUCUUGAGUAUCUGCACGAUGCCCAUGUAAAGGCAACAUUCAAACAGAAGGGGUAAGAAUUCAUUUCAAUAAUAACAACAUAGAAUGUAAAAUAGAGUACAUCAUCUACAUAAUCAUGCAUAAUAACAUAUCACAUUCUCACGUCCAAAUUAUCAUCAACAUCACAUACAACAACACCAUCAUCACACAUAGUCAUAUUUCACGCAUAUAAUUCAUUCAUCUCAUGCGACUCACGACAAUGACAACGACUCAUAUGCAUGUGGUACCAAUUCAACAUUUGGUUAUUCUUACGAACCCGAUUCCCCCUUAGGAAUCCCGAACUCCCCCUUCUGAGUUUCGGAUAAGUCUUUCGUCCCUCUUCAGACAUAUGACUUAUCUCCUUCAACAUAUCAACAAUGGAUGUAUGGCAUGGUAAUAAUCCAAUUAACACAACAAUUAUAAUAAUAUUUAGUGAUCCACAAUCGAUCACACAAUUGCAACCAUGCGUAACGUAAUUCACCCUUCUAGACUAGCACCAAUAUAAUCAAACACAUCAUCCCAAUCAUUCAUAAUACAUCAAAUAGUUUAUAAAUAUGGACCUAGUUCAUAUUCGUCGCAUCAUACACUUCUUUCUCACCUAUUACCAACCUCUGAUAAAAUCUUUAAAAAUGUUAUCCUUGAAACAAAGUUAUAGCCCUCUAUUUCAAUACCCAAUGCUUCGAACCCCGUCCCUAAAUGAUUUACGAGUUGAAAAUUAUGAUUAAAACUGUGCGCAAAUGCGUUACUAAAAAGUUGUUGUUUUUCUGAAAUUUCCAGCACAAUUUUCAUCUUCUCCAACCCCAAAAAUGUCCAUGAAAUUAUCACCAAAAAUAUUUUAUCUCUGAAACAAAGUUACAAUCCUCUGUUUCAGCUAUCCAACGCUCCAAAUCUCGUCCCAAAAUGAUUUACGAGUUGAAAAUUAUGAUCAAAAUCAUGCACGGUUGCGUUACUAAAAAGUUGUUGUUUUUCUGAAAUUUCCAGCACGAUUUUCAUCUUCUCCAAUCCCAAAAACGUCCAUGAAUUCAUCACCAAAAAUAUUUUAUGGUUUUAAGUUCAGUCAUAAACAUACAUAUAUCAAUCACUACUUAUAUUUAUAUAAUCAUUGAUCUAUAUACUAUAUUGUGAGAUAUUUGAUCGCACUCUAGUAUGGUCGAAUGGUAGCUUUUUGGUUCGACAAUUCGACAAGACCUUAGCAUGUCGUCGAAAUCUGUUCACAUGCGGUAGUCGAAGUAUGUUAGGAUUGUUAGCAUGUCGAAUUGGGUUUGUUUGUUAUGUUCAAUUGUUUAAGUUAACUUGUUCUCUAAGUUAGCUUGUGUAAUGGACAUGUGUGUAAAAGAAUAUUAGUUUAGUAUGUUAGUUUUCUUAUAAAUAGCAUACUAGUCUCUCAUCAUUGCAUAAUGCAAAUCCUAAUUAGGGUGAGAGAGGUUAUUUGCUAUUCUAUAACACUUGUAAUCUUGUUUGAAAGAGAAGGUAAAGAAUAACAAUUUAUAACCAAUUUCAUCGUGUCCUUAUUGUUUUUCUUCUUUUCUACCCUUGUGGGUUUCUUACCAGUUAAGAAACCAAUUAUACUUUGUAAUUUCGGCAUCAUUUUCACAGCAUAUAUCAAUCCCUAAAAACUUCAAACAUUAUCAAUGAUGAACAUACAUGAACACUUUAGAACAUAAAUUUCAUUCAACAAAUAUCAACAUUCAUCAUCAAUCCAAAAAGAAUUAAACUUUCCUCUACUCUUCCAUUCAUAUCCCUAUUAUUGAACCAAAUUCUCACCCUUACCUUGUAAUUCCAUAAAAACUCAAACUUUUGGCUAUGGCUUCUUUUCCAUAGAGCUCUCUUUUGGUUUUCCUUACUUUUCUCUUCUUUGACCUCUUUUUCUCCAAUUCCAAAAGUUUCAUCUCACUUAUUUCCUCAUAAAUCAACAGCCUAAUUUAUAUCUUUCUAAUAUUUCACUAAAGUCCAACUUAUUACUAACUUACAUUAUUUAUUUUAAUUCUCCAUAAUUCGCACUUUCCACCCCAAACUCAUUACUUUCUUUUAUUUUAUUAUUUCAUUUAAAUAAUAAUACUAAAACAUUAUUUAAUUAAUUAAAUAAUUCUAAAUAAAUCUACCAACCUCUAAUUAUUCGUCACACUCUCUACCUAAGGGUCACCUAUCCUUAUUGCCCUAACACAUCUCAAUUAUCACAUAAAUAAUAAUUAGGUACACACAUAAAAUUAUAAUUAAUUAAUAUAAAUAGUUUUUAGAAAAAUGGGGUGUUACAGUUUUGACUAUGGAGUGUGGAGCCAUGUCAGCCAUCCUCGAUGAAGAUGGAAAAGAUGGUGAUGAAAGAGGUGUGAUCCAGGUUAGUUUUACUAGGGUCCCACGGUGGACACACUUUAUUGAUCAUAAAGUACAAGUGUGUGUGGCAUCUCUACAAUGGUAAAGGAUACUCAAAAGUCUUAGUAUGUUUAUAACAAGUAGGAUUUUCCCGCGGCAGCGGCGAGAGGCCCUACAGGGUAGUUGUGUUGUAUUUAUGGUGGUAUGAAAGAUCAUCUCACGUGAGGUGAGAGGCUUUGUAUAUUAUUCAACAUGUGGUUAUGUUAUGUUUUAUCUGGCUUUGUAUAUUAUUCAACAUGUGGUUAUGUUAUGUUUUAUCUUCUCUUGUUAGGGGAUGAAUAUUUAUAAAAGCCCCUAGGCGUAGGUUUUCCUUGGAAAAGAUAACCGUUUACUCGGUCAAAGUUGUGGACCAUUGAAUGUCUAUUUCUUAGAAAGGUGUGGAUCAACUAUUGACUCUAAUUUCUCUCUAUCCAAAAAAUUUGUUACCCAACACUUCUCAUAACUAGGCGAACAAAAAUACCUUAGAACAAGGCGAUUCUACUUAGAUGUGGUAUAUAGUCAUCGCUCUCCUAAGGAUUAGGAUCCUCCCACCUUUGUUAGACCUUUUUAUAAAUAUAAUAUUACCGAAAGGAUCCUUUUAAAAAGGUAUCAAAGGCUCCAUAAAGAUCCUUUUGGUCAAUAUUACUAAAGCAGUAACAAGAAAAUACAAAUCAAAGAAAAGAGAUAAAAAAAAUACAUGGAUGGUAAUUUAGAACACGAUAAAGAUGAAGUUGAUGGUGUUGAAAACCACAACCAAAUUAAUUUUGUAACAAAAUACAAUAGAAAAAUAUAUUUGGUAAGAUUAAAAAAAUACGAGAUGGAAUCUUGAGAUACUCCUCGAUAUAGGAUGAUUGAAAAAUGCCCUAAAAAUAAACUUAAACGCAUGUCUUAAGAAAAAAACAUGUGACAUAGGGCCACAAAGAAAUUUUAGUUACUUAACUGUUAGAAAGGUCGGUCAAAGUUAGGAAAAUGUACAACUUGCAGUAAUGAGGAAGUAUCCAACAAGGUAACAUUAUCAUUAUUGUUUGAGAAUGAAGGAAAGCACCACGAGAAAAUUGAAAUACUCCAGGAGACACCACUCAUUACUCACAACAUUAACAUAAAUUACUACAGUUGGAGCAAAUUAUUUAAACUCCAAUCAACCUUAAUCACAUAAAGUAUAAAUUCAAUUAGAGCGAGAUGUCACAAAUCAACAAAAGUACUACAUAAUUAAUAAACAAACAACUAAAACAAUGAAUUUUGGUCAUUAGAAAUUCAGAAUUUUGAACCCAUAACUCAACAAAAGUACCCUGGAUUUUCAUGCAAUUCUCUAUAUGAAUGUUAGGCAAUAGCAACAAAACAACAUUAUAAUUUGAACAACAAGCAACAGCAUCAUCUUACAAAGUAAUCAAAAAAACAUCAUCCAGAACCAUCAAAUGAAAAUGAAAGAGUUUUAGUCAUAAAACACCAUUACUUAAUCCGAAACAUACACAUGAAACAUGAUUUCAAAAGAAACAUAAACAAAAAAUAAAUUAAAAAAAGUCAUAGAUGUACUAUCUUUGAAGAUGAUGAUGAUUAUACCCAAAUCCGCAUACACACGCCACAUACAGAGAGAGAAAAAAACCUAAACUUGAACUAACAGAGCAACCUCCAUUGAAACCAAAAGAAAUUUAGAACAAAAAAAUGUAAAAUGACUUCAUUUGAGACCAUUUCCUGGUGUAGAAAUUGCAAGUCCAGGCCAAGAGAAACAAUCACCACCACCACCAACAAAACCAGUUUCGCCACCUUCUAACUGCCACGAGUUUCCAAUCCCAGAAGACACAACGGGAACACCCAUGUUGGAUCCAUCCAUCAUCCCAGGAAAACUCCACUCUCUCCCUAUCCCAAACCCCAUAUCUCCAAGCCCGUGCCCAAGCCCAAGCCCAAAUCCACCUAAUGCAAGAAACCCAGAGUUUUGUUGAGGGUUGUUGCUCAACAAAGAAGUGAAGCUCCCGCAAACACUCAUAUUCUGUUUCCCUUCACCGUCAACACCACCAUACGGAAAAGAACCUCCUUGUAUCGGUGUCAUUGAAGGAUAGUUCUGCUCCGGUGCAGAUGUCACGGCAGAAGAGGAAGAAGAGGAAGUGACCGCAACGUGGUGAGUACGGGAGCGUUUCGCGUUUUUUCGGGUACCACCUCCGACGGGGAUGUCGCGGAGAGUACCGCCGUGAGUCCAGUACCUACGGCAAGCUUUGCAGAAAUGUCGCGGCUGAGAGUAGUUGUAGUUGUUGUAGUAGCAAAACUUGGUGUUGGUUGAAUCACAACGAGGACAUGGGAGAUUCUCUUGCUCCGGUGCAGGUGCUCCGGGGCGGUUCUGUGGUUUGAUUGAUCGACGGCUCUCACCAGAGUCCGAUGACGGCAUUGUUUAGUUUUGAAGAGAAAGAUAAGAGAGUGAGAAAAGAAGUAUUUUGAAAAGUGAAGUGUAAAACGCAAGGAAUGAAAGUGGGGUAUUUGAUAAUGUGUUGUUAUGGAAUGGAAUGAGAAGAAUGAGAAGAACAAGUGUGAUGAGUGUGUGUGGGGUUUAUGGUGGGGUGUGGUUUUUAUGGGAAAGAAAAGAAGUGAAGUGAAAUGAAUGAAUGAGACGAGAGAGAGAGUGAGAGAGAAUAUUGUAUGUAUGGUGAAAACAGAGACAUAUUCUGAUGCUUAUAUGAGACAGAAUGGGUUCAGCUUUAGUACAGUGUUCUGUUAAGCACGACAUUUCAGUCGGCUACUAGGGCUGCGCCUCCUGCUGCACACACCACCUCGCUUCUCUCUAAUCAAUUCUUUUUAUUUUAAUUUUUUUUCCCUCUCAUUGGCUUCCAGAAUUAUACAAAUAAAUACUAUAUAUUCAAAGAGACACUUAAAGGGCUCAACUUUCUUUUUUUAGAGAUAGAAGUCUUAAAUGACAAAUAUUUGAUAAUCAUAUAGUAGUAGUAAAUGUUACUCCACUAUGUUGUGUUUGGCUUCUUUCACUUGGACUCAUGCAUUUACCUUUGAGAUAAUUACGCACACCUAGCCGACAAGUAAAAUAGUUUAACUGAAACAGUAUCACAAUUAGCUCAUGUUCCAAUUAGUCAUAGUCAGGUUUCGACUACCAAUAUUUUUUUGCAUAUAUUCGAUUCUCCUGUCUUUUCCUCAUACAAUCUGGUUUGACAGAGGAAGCUUAUAGACCGUAGGGUGUUUGGUCAUAAGAUUAUCCACGCAUCGAAUUUCGAUCCUUGUUGUUAUUCCAAAUUCUAAAUAAAUACUGUAGAAUCAGAAACUAUGGAUGGAUAAUGUCACAUUCAAGUCUUUUCACCUUGCUCUAUUUUUUUCCUCUAAUUAGGCCAACAUAAUUCAACUCAUAUCUAGAAAUUCGUAUCAUUCAAACCACAUGCAAAACAAACAAUACACUUCCCAUAAAGAAAAAAAAUCAUAUGAAAUGUCAUUGUUAGAAGACAUUAGUCACUGUAACAGCAGAGUAUUCCAAACCUAACUUUGAAUAUUUAAUUAACUGGUUUGUUUUUCCAUUUGGUUAGUGGUUAUUACUGUAACUAGCUAGAAGACAAAAAACGUGUAAAUUAAAUUAGUACUGUAGCUUCUUUUUUUUAUGGAAAAAAAUUUAAAUGAGUUAGUCUUUAAGAUUCAACAGGAUCAAAACAGACCUCAAAAUUCAGAUAGAUACAGAUCAUUAAUUAAAGAGAUUCUCACAUCAACAAUAAAAAUUAUACUCAUAAUCUCUCACUGUCUAGUGUACUGUCUAGUGUGUGAGAUAACUCUUUCUCAACGGAGUCAAUCUAAUUAGUACUAGUAUUAAUUAUAGAGGAUUAGGAUUAGCAUAGGUGGGGAGAGAGGGGACAAAAUAAUGAGUGUCGGGCAGCGUGGGGGGCAAUAAUUGGGUCACCCCUAUGAUUUCGGACGCGUCAUGUCCGCAUCAGAUUCCUCCUCCGUACUCUUUCUUUCACUCUAUCUUCUACCGGAUUUUACGCUACACUGUAGCUACGGAGGAGAUUACCCUAACAUCACACGUAGACCGUUUGAUGGCGAUCAUACGGUAUGAGAGAAGAGACAUCUGUCAGCGACAGACCGGCUGUUGUCGGUCGCAUGCGCCCUCAAAAAACUGGUCUCACCCAGAGAGAAUCAAUCAUGGGUCACUUUCAACCAGUAACAAAAACUUGGAAACUUGAAAGGUGAAACGUUGUUUAUCACUUUUCUCAAUGAACCAAAACUAGAACACGGUCACAGUGUGUUAAGCUUAUCCGGUUCAGAGUUGCUCUGUUUCUUUUUGGCUUGUUCUGUGCUUGCUCAUACAUUAUUCCUUGGUUGGUUUCUGAUUCUACGAUACAUCAAUGUGAAAUUGGAACUUGGCGUGCUUUUCUUUUCUUUUCGUGGGAUGUUAUUAUUGCUGUCACUGGUUUGGAAUAAUAAUAAUGUAAAGGGAAAUUGUUCAGAUGAAAAAACAAAUUUUCUUUUAAAAUUUAAUGCGAAUGAAUCACUACUGCACGCAGGUGUUUGUGGAGUUUCAAAGUUGGAGCCUCAUAAAUCAAUUUUAGUGUUUUUAAGAUAAGACAAAAAACCAGUCAAAGAAAUAGUAUAGAAAUAUAAAUAAAAAACAAAUUUAUUAAAGACGAAAACUACAUUCUUCUUUUCUGGUCUUAUGAAAAGUAAGAGAAGAAAAUAUAUGAAGAAAAUAUACAUAUUUUUCUUUUUUUAUUAUUUUAUUUUUAAAUUUAUAAUUUUAAUUCACUAUUUUGAUUAAUUUUACAAUUGAAUUGAAUUUAUUCGUAUUAAAAACUUUAAUGUGAAUUUCUAUUUAAAACAUACAUGACGGUUUUCUUAUAUUAAUCAAAAUUUUCUUUUUUAGUAAAUUAUUUUUUUAAUGUAUUAUUUUUAUUUCAUAUUUUUUAAUAAUAAUUUAAAAAUUUAAAAAAAAGUAUGUAUUGUUCCGUUCGAGAACCAAAAAUAAGAAGAUAAGCGAUGAUGAUGGUGGAUUGUGACUUUUAACGCGGUCGAGUGAAUGGAUCUGCAAAGUUAUCACUUCAACGCUCAAGUCAGUAUACGAAAAAGUAUUGUAUUUUAGUUUGUUACUUGAUUUUGACGUCUUCUCUCUAUAAAUAAUAGAGAGAUAAUAACUAACUAACUAUUAAUUACGAGUGAAUUGCGAAGAGUCAUUAGAUGUUUUACCGUUGAGACCAUUGAUGAUCACUAGAAUGAUCGUCUUCACAUAUUAGGAAGAUUCUGGAAGAAAUAUUACCUUUUAGUUUAUUGUUUGUUGGAAUCAGUAUGGUCUGCAUAAACCUAUCUGAGGUCAGCCUGGUCAGUCCAAAAUAGUUGCCUCAAGCCCUUACCGUCAUGUAGGAAGGUGAGGGCUUGAUAUUACAACGUCGGAUGCUGGUUAACCCCUGAUUAUUUUAAAGACAAAUAAAUGGGAAUUGUUUCGAUUCUUUAAAAGAACCAUGCAUUUAAUGCACCUUACUUCAAAACGUUUUUCAUAAAUAUAAGCAUUAUAGUUUGGGGGAACCAAAACUUCUUUGAAUGUUGUGUUAGGUGAUUAGACGUGUUUGGUGAAGUUUUUUGCCUUUCAAGACGUAGUUUUUUUUAAG